AACCGGAAAAAAAAAAAAAAAAAAAAAAAAAAAAAAAACCCCAAAGACAAUUUGCUUAAAGAUCAAUACCUUUGGUUGUAUAGGAGCUCCAUUUGCGAUCUGUUUGGGAGAAUGAGAUUUUGGCAUCGACUCAAUUGGAGAAUAAGCCCGGAGAGAAGGAAGAGAUGGAAGUUUAGCAGAAGGCCUAGAUGGGUUCUCAUGUUUGCAGGAGACUGAGUUGACUCGCCUGGACUCAAGGCGUGGAAAAGGGAGGAAGCCGAGUUUAGGGGAGUCGAUUCGCCCGAGUCUAGGAAGAAAGGGACAGGGUUUGAGGUUGAGUUUGAUAGAAGUUGGAGAAGAAGAGUAUAGAAGCCUCUCCAUGGCCUCUCUCUCUCUCCUCUUUGUCACUCUCUGUUUGUGCUUUUUGUGGAGAGGUUUUACAGGGAAAGACUUUGAGGGAGACAAAGAAGGUGGGUUGGUGAGGAUAGCGUUUUGGCUGAGAGGGUUAACGGAAAAUUGAAAAUUCGGAUAUUUUCAAAAUAAAGUAAUACUGUUAAACAGUUUUUUUCUCUUUCUGUGUUUGAAGAAUACUAAAAGCUCUAAUAAUUGAUUUUAAUUUUUUAAUUUUAAUGUUUAACCAUGAUUUUUUUUAAAUUUUUAAUAUUAAAUAUAAAUAUGACUAGUAAUUAUCAUAAUAAAUGAGUUUAAAUAUUAGUAAUUUAAUAUUAUAGUUUAAAUGCACUUUUUUUAUCUAUUUUAAUGUUUCCUCUUUGUUUCAGUUUUUAUAUAUAUUAGUGCUUUUAUAACACAUAUUGCAAGUUGUCGUUAUUUGUUUUUUACUCAUUAUGCUCGUUCAUUAUUAUUUGUUAUAAUAUUAAGAUUUGUUAUAAUUUUUUUCAUAUUUUUUUAGAUUUUUAUAUAACGUAAAUAAAAUGACUAAAUAAUCAUAUUUUAUAUAUAUGUACUUUAAUUCAAUUUAUAAAUCUAACAUGUAUCUACAUUGCACUUUAACAGCACAUAGUACCACAAUGCUACUCAAUAAGUACGUUGUAAUGUAUAUACGUGUACGUAUACAAAUUUCUCCAUAUAUUUAAGAAUUAAUAACAUAUUCAUUUUUUAUCUAGCCAAACAAUUUUAAAAGGCAAUAUAUAUAUAUAUAUAUAUAUAUAUAUANNNNNNNNNNNNNNNNNNNNNNNNNNNNNNNNNNNNNNNNNNNNNNNNNNNNNNNNNNNNNAUAUAUAUAUAUAUAUUAUUUCUCUCCUAAUUAAAAACCUUUAAAUUAUAAUCAAAUAUUAAUUAUAUAUUUUAACUGGUAUUUAAAUUAAAAUUUUUAAUUAAAUAUUUUAAAUUACAAUCAAAUAUUAUAUAUGAAUUUUUAUUUAUUUGAUUUUUUAAUUUUUUUCUUAUUUCUCUCCUAAUUAAAAUAUUUUAUUGUAUUAUAUAUAUUGUUAUAUUAAAAUUUUUGUUCACCAUAUCAAAUAUUUUUAAAAUAUAAUUAUUAUAUAUUUGUUAAAAUUUAUGUACUCAUCACGCUCUAGUAUCUUUUAAAUUAUAAUCAAAUAUUAUAAUUAAAUAAUAUAUAUUUUUAAAUUAGAUAUUUCUAAUUACUAUUUAAAAUAUCUUAAAUGACGAUGAAAUAUUAAAUUUAAACUUUUAUUAUUUUUUCUUUUUCCUUAUUGUUCUCCUGAUUAAAACCUUUUAAUUAAAUUACAAUUAAAUCAAAAAAAUUUUUAUAUUUUUUAAGUUAAAAAUUUUUUAAGUUAAAUUUUUAAUCAUGAAAUACUAUUAUGUAUGUUAGUGCAAAUUUCAAUAUUUUAAGAAAUCUCAUUAUGUUUCACUUUUUUUAUAUAUUUAUAUACAGUAUUUAUAGAGAAAUUAUUAUUAUUAUUAUUACUCCAUUAUUUAUGGCUUUGAUGCUUAUUAGUUAUGAUAGUUGCGUGGCCCAUUAAAUUAUCGUUGACUAUACUAAAAUAAAGUAGCGGUUUCUGUUUGGCCACAACAAACCCUUAUAAUAAUCAGGUCCCUCCCGAUGGUUUAUGGUUUAUAUAUUUUGUCAUGUAAAUAUAUACAAAUGUAAAGCUAUCUUAUUUAGGGUCUAUCCACGGCACUAGUUGUUAUAGAAGUUGUUAGUUGUUUUAGGAGCCGUUAACCAUUAGUUAUUUAUAUAGUAGUUAAAAUAAAAGUGUUUGCUAAAAAAAUAACUGUUUGAUUAGCUGUUAUAAAUCAAAUGACAAAAAAUGACAUUGAAAUGUUGACUUUAAAAAUUGAUAUAUAUAUAUAUAUAUAUAGAGUAGCAAGUGUUUUUUUUCUUUUCUAAAUUAUUAUCAUUUUUUUUUUUAUAGCAAAAGAUUAUUUCUUAUAGAAUUGAAAUGAAAAAACUAAAAAAUUAUUUCUUGUAAUUUUUAUUUUAAGGUAAUAAGAAAUAACAAAAUAGAAUAAUUAAAAAUGACAUGUGAAACGCUAAAUGUUUGGAGAUUUAACAUUUAAUGAAACGAUGCCUAAUUUCUAAAUGUUAAUAUAAAUAUUAUAUUACCGAAAGAUGUAAUUAAUAGAAUAAUGUUGUUGUCAAGUAAAUCCUUAUUCCGUUUGGCUGAUAUGAUUUUUUUUUUUUUUUUUUUUUACUUCAAAAAAUAUUUUGAAGCUUUCCCAUUUUCAUGUUGAGUUGAAGCUUUCAUUCCACGAAAGAAUCAAAGUUCAGAAAUAUAAGUUUUUAGUUUAUCCCUUAAAAACUCCAUUUUUUAAAGUUAAAUAAUAGUUUAUUAAAUUUUUAUACGGAAAAGAGAAAGUUAAAACAAUGAAAUUAGGCUUCAAAAAUAAAAAAUUUUUUAAUUUUUUAAAAUUUUUCGAAACAUAUCACAAUCAGUUCAAUUUAAAUAAUUCGAAAUUGAUUGCUAAAUCAGACGUAUGGACUGCUGAAUUGAUUUAAAAUCAUAAAAUUCAUAAUUCCUAUUGACAUUUAUAAUCAAUAAUACCAUUUAGAGGGAGACCUUCAAAUUGCAUAAUUAAUUUAUUUUUUUUUUAUUUAUUGAAAGGCUUAACGGGUCAAGUUAAUACUGUGAGCUACACAAUAUAAAUAACAUUCCUCUGAAUUAACCAAAUUGGUAAAAACACUUAUAAUCGGGAGAACUCGAACUCGAAACCUCUCACUUCGUAUAAAUGAGAAGAUCAAUAAUACCACACUCCUAAUCGGUAUUAAUUUUUUUUAACAGCAUAAUUAAUUUCUUAUAAAAUGAGAGAGAUAUAAUAAAUAAGCUCUAAAUUAAUAAUUGAUACAAUGAGCCCAAAAGCGAAUUUGUCGAGGUGGCUAAUAGGAUAACAGAUAGAUUCAAUUACUUGGAGGUUUCCAAUUGUGAGAACAAAAGCUUUGAAUAUAUCAAACAGGAUAACUUAUCCGGUAGCCAUUUUUUUCAAAAAAAAAAAAAAAAAAGUGCAUAAAUUAAAAAGUCCACAUAUUAACACGUCAAACUUUGCGGUUGCGCUCACGCUAACACGCAUUCUCAAGGCGCCUCCUUGCGCUCGGCACACGCACCCAAUAGAUACUCCGCACGUUCAAUUUAAGAAGGCAGUGGACAGUUGUCCAUAUUAAUUCAAUUUUAAGAGCGAACACACUUGUCUACACCAGCUGUAUUAGCACAUCAAUACAAGAAAUAAAUAAUUAGUUGCGAUUUGAAAAAAUUAUUUUAACUAUUUUGCAGAACCGCAUAACACCGGUUCAAAUCAAAUCAAACCGAUGUUAAAUUGUGAUUUUAAAAGUUAGUGAUUUGAUUUGUAAAAUUUAAAGAUUUAGGUUUUAGUUAAAUUUAUGGUUUUAUAUUUAAAAUUGUGCAAAUCGCACCAAAAUGUUUUAUAUCUAUAAAAACUUUUAAAUGCUAAAUAAUUUAGUUUAAUUUUUAAUGAAAAAUUUCUCUGCAUUGCUUAGUUUGUAUUGCAUAAUAAUUAUAUAUAAUUUCAUAUCAUUUAAAUAAGUUAUAUAAUUAUAUUAUUUGUAAGUUCAAAUGUCAAAUAUUUUAAAAUGAUGACUAUUCACUGCUUAGUUUUUUUUUUUAAUAUUUAAAAAAAACUAAAAUAGAUACACUCAUUAUCUACUUUUCUUUUUCACUUGUUUCAAAUUAUAAUAUUUUUCAAAAAAAUAAUAAUUUUUGUAGUUUAUUAUUUUAUCUCUAUUUAAUGUGUAUUUCUUCCAACAAAUAUGCCACUAUUAUAAUUAGCUAAAUCUUGAAAUAAACAAAACAAGGUCACUAUUAUUGUCACAUAUAUUAACCAACCUAUUUUUAAUUACAUUUAUUCUUGUAUUAAAAACUUACUGGUAUUAGAACCCGCGCGAUGUAUGAAACAAUAUUAAAUAAUGAAAUAACAUCAUUCAAAAAUGAUCGUAAUCAAAAUUAUAUCUCAUUAAGAUAUGCAGAAAAUGUUGGAAUGCUAAGAUGUGUCUUUUUAAGUAUCCUCUAAAGCAUUUCACUAUGAUAUGUAAAAGUAAAAGUUAUACAUGGUAUAACCUGUAUAAAAAAAUAUACACACUAUUAAUUUAUUUUUAAAUAGUAAUAGUGAUUUUGGGAAUUUAACUAAUUAUAUUGAAAUAACAAAUUAAUUAUUUUUUAUAUUAUGUUUAUAAUUUAUUGUAAAUGAUUAUUUAUUUAUUUAAAAUAUUAAUGUAUUAGACUUAUUUAGUGUAAUGUGUCAUGCGCGUGUGGAUGUCAUACUUUUUUAAAAAUAAUCGUAUCUCGUACGUUCCUGCAUCUCGUAUCCUGUGUUCCGUGUCUGUACAACUUAACUCUUGGUAUAUGAGACUACUAUAUACACUAAGUCAAUCAACUAAGGUUAUUUUUUAUUAGCAAGAAAAAAUAAAGUUUUUUUUAAUUCAUUUUUGUGUCCUUUUUUUUUUAUUAAUGAAUGAUCACAAACACUGUUGUUACAACUAAAAAUAUAUUUCGAUAGUCUUGGUAAGUCAUUAGUUUUUGUCAAACUCUAUAAUUAUUUCCAUCAAAGAGAGAUAUUUUAAUGAAAACUGAUAAAUAAAUUGAAAUGAGAGGAUGUUAGCUUUAGGCUCCAUAUUGAUAAGAUUGGCCGAUAAUUUAACUAAUUAUAUUGAAAGAAAAAUUAAGUAUUUUUUUUAAAUUUGUUUUAUCUUUUUUUUUUUAAAAAAAAUAGUUCAACAACUUAAUUUAGAAUUAUAAUAUUUGUCAUUUUAUAAUUCAAAAUACUGCUAAGUGGUAAAUUGUACUAUUUACAUUUGGUUUUCAUAUAAAGAAAACUACUCUCCUUUUAUAUAUUAUAUAAAUAAAUUAGGUCUGGCCAAUACUUGAUAUUUUUCAAAACUAAAUUAAGAAAAAAUAAGAAGAAACUAAAAUUUAUUUCAAAAAAAACUUAUAUUACUUAAUUUUUUAUAUAAAAGAAAAUAAAAUUAAUUUUUCUCUACAAAUUUAUUUAUAGUUUUUUUAUUUUCUUUCUAAUUUGAAGAGAAAAUUAUCGAAAUUCUUUUUCCUUAUAUUCAUUUCUUAUUUUCAAAUUAAAUAAUUUUUGCUUAUUAAUAUUAGUUUAGCUUUCUUUUCUCUUCAAUAUUAUUUGAAAAUAUAAAACAAUUUAUUUCCUUACAAUAGUUUUCAUUAGAACUAAACUCUUUAUAAUUGUGCUAAAUAACUUUACAUUUGGCAAUUGGCAAUUUGAGAUUGACACUUGUCUGUCGUUUAAAAUAUACUGCGUUAAUUAGUGUUGUGAUCUAUCUUUUAGGGCCAGAUUGAUAUUAAGAUUUGGUAAGUUUAAAGCGAUGGAAGUCCAUAAUAAGUCUAACCUAGUAACCUACUAAACAAAUAAUAGCAAAAUCCAUAUAUCAUUUGGGCCUUAGGCCCACUAUCCAAGCAGUCUCUAUGACAGAUUGCCAUCGAUAAAUAUAUAUCCAUAGUUGUGAUACUCAGCUCGAAUCAAUUUACAUAACCAAUAAGAUACUUAUUUCACAGUGAAAAUUUUAAUGGAGGCUCAACAUCCUUUAUUCGUUCAGUAAUAUUACAAAUACUCACAUCACACUAAUUACUUUUAACUAAUACAAUCGCUUCUCUUCUUUUUUUUUUUUUUUUAUUCAUACAUUUCAAUUUAAACUACACUUUCGCCGUUAAACUACAUCUAUGGCUUUAUUUGCUUCCAUAAAAUAACUUAUCAUUAUUAUUAAUAUUUUUUAUAGUCUUAUGAGACAAAGACUUUAAUAUUUUUAACUAUAUUAUAACUAAACAACGAAAAAUAAAUCACUUGGAAAAUAUUUGUCACUUGAAUUGGAAAAUAUAUUGUUUAGCAAGUUAUUUUACGGAUCAUCUAUUAAAAUGAUGUAGCAUGAUUACUCAUGGACCCUAGCAUGUUACUUACCAAUUGAAAUCCAAGAUGAGCCUUGAUUCAAAUCUCUGCUACUGUUAGAACAGGUAGAUUAAAAGCGAUGUGAAGAUCUUCUGCUUCACGUCCUGUGACUUUUAAAUACCAGAGUUUUGGGGACUGGCUUUGAGCGAGUGUGAGCCAAUGCAAAUGUCUAACCUUGAUAGGAAUUUUGAGACCUUAUAAGCCCCAGCUCUCUCCGAACCCUGACAAGCAAAGAGAAAGAUAUGUAGAGAGUGAGUUUCGAGGAUGAGUUCACUCGAAUGUGGUUAAGUCGAAAUUCAAACUAUUUGGAGGGUGUGAUCAAAAGGAGAGAGAAAGAAGACAACAACAAAGAGGAGGAUGAUCGAAGUAAAGAGGAGGCAACGACGGAGGAAGAUGAGGAAUGGAUGUUGAGGUGGCUGUAGUAGGGCAAAAUGAUGACAUUUGGGGAAAAGAGUGAGUUUUGAGCCCUUGGUGUGUUUUAAUAUUCAAGUUAAACUAAGGAUAGUCAUAGUAUAUGAAUUCUACUUUUACAAUAUUUUAUUUAAAACUCUAAGUUAAAUUUAAAAUUAAAGAAAAAAUAUACCUAAUUUUAUAAAUUGGAAUUAACUAAAGUAUAAAGAACAAAUAGGUCGAUUUGAAGCCUCAUUUCCAAUAUAUAUAUAUAUAUAUUUUUAUAACAUAGUUGUAAUGCUUUAAAAUAUAAUUUUUUUGAUAUUGCUGCACAAAUUUAUUUAUUGUUCUUAUUAAUUUAUAUUUGUUUCCCUCCAAAUUUUGAAAUCUAUUUCUACUUCCUAGGCAUGGUGGUUCAGGUUCGAGAUAUUUAAAAUUUUGAACUGGAAUCGACCCUUGAACUUUUGGUUCCGACACAGUUCAGGCGAACCGACAGUUUGAAUUACGGUUCCGAUUCGAUUCCGGCAUUACGCAAAUUUUUAAAAAAAUAAUAAAAUUUUGAUUUCGAAUUCAUAAUAAAUAAUAAUUUUAAAAUGUUUCAAUUUUAUUAACUAAAUAAAUUAUUAUAAAAUUUUAAAAGAAAAACUUCUAUUAACUAACUUAGAACUAUUAUUACAUUAAAUUUACAAAUUUUGCUAAUUCACUAAUAUAGAAAACCAUAAAUGGAAUGAGUUGGAAAUUAUUAUUUUCAAAUACUAAGAAAAUUAUUAAAAAAAUUAAAUGAAGUAAAUUUAUGAAUGGAAAAAAUUGAGAUUAAAGAAAGAAUUUGGAAUUGGAUGUAAGAAAAUAAAAAAUAAAUAAUAGAUAAUUCCAAUAUUAAGGAAAAUAAAGCAAUAGAAAAAAUAAUGAACUAUGGAAAUUUGAGAGAAUUUUGAUUGAGAAUAAGAGAAGAGUUGAGAUAUAAUUGGUUGUGAAAUAAAAAGUCAUCAACUCAUCAUAUUUAUACAUGUUUCUCAUUUAUUAGUUUCCCAAAUUGUCCCUUAUAACAGAAAAAUAACAGCUAUAUUUUUGGAUAAUUUAGUAAAUUACAGUAAAUAAAUAAAUAAAUNNNNNNNNNNNNNNNNNNNNNNNNNNNNNNNNNNNNNNNNNNNNNNNNNNNNNNNNNNNNNNNNNNNNNNNNNNNNNNNNNNNNNNNNNNNNNNNNNNNNNNNNNNNNNNNNNNNNNNNNNNNNNNNNNNNNNNNNNNNNNNNNNNNNNNNNNNNNNNNNNNNNNNNNNNNNNNNNNNNNNNNNNNNNNNNNNNNNNNNNNNNNNNNNNNNNNNNNNNNNNNNNNNNNNNNNNNNNNNNNNNNNNNNNNNNNNNNNNNNNNNNNNNNNNNNNNNNNNNNNNNNNNNNNNNNNNNNNNNNNNNNNNNNNNNNNNNNNNNNNNNNNNNNNNNNNNNNNNNNNNNNNNNNNNNNNNNNNNNNNNNNNNNNNNNNNNNNNNNNNNNNNNNNNNNNNNNNNNNNNNNNNNNNNNNNNNNNNNNNNNNNNNNNNNNNNNNNNNNNNNNNNNNNNNNNNNNNNNNNNNNNNNNNNNNNNNNNNNNNNNNNNNNNNNNNNNNNNNNNNNNNNNNNNNNNNNNNNNNNNNNNNNNNNNNNNNNNNNNNNNNNNNNNNNNNNNNNNNNNNNNNNNNNNNNNNNNNNNNNNNNNNNNNNNNNNNNNNNNNNNNNNNNNNNNNNNNNNNNNNNNNNNNNNNNNNNNNNNNNNNNNNNNNNNNNNNNNNNNNNNNNNNNNNNNNNNNNNNNNNNNNNNNNNNNNNNNNNNNNNNNNNNNNNNNNNNNNNNNNNNNNNNNNNNNNNNNNNNNNNNNNNNNNNNNNNNNNNNNNNNNNNNNNNNNNNNNNNNNNNNNNNNNNNNNNNNNNNNNNNNNNNNNNNNNNNNNNNNNNNNNNNNNNNNNNNNNNNNNNNNNNNNNNNNNNNNNNNNNNNNNNNNNNNNNNNNNNNNNNNNNNNNNNNNNNNNNNNNNNNNNNNNNNNNNNNNNNNNNNNNNNNNNNNNNNNNNNNNNNNNNNNNNNNNNNNNNNNNNNNNNNNNNNNNNNNNNNNNNNNNNNNNNNNNNNNNNNNNNNNNNNNNNNNNNNNNNNNNNNNNNNNNNNNNNNNNNNNNNNNNNNNNNNNNNNNNNNNNNNNNNNNNNNNNNNNNNNNNNNNNNNNNNNNNNNNNNNNNNNNNNNNNNNNNNNNNNNNNNNNNNNNNNNNNNNNNNNNNNNNNNNNNNNNNNNNNNNNNNNNNNNNNNNNNNNNNNNNNNNNNNNNNNNNNNNNNNNNNNNNNNNNNNNNNNNNNNNNNNNNNNNNNNNNNNNNNNNNNNNNNNNNNNNNNNNNNNNNNNNNNNNNNNNNNNNNNNNNNNNNNNNNNNNNNNNNNNNNNNNNNNNNNNNNNNNNNNNNNNNNNNAAAAAACUAUAAAUGGAAUAUAAAAUUAAUGGAAUGAGUUGGAAAUUAUUAUUUUCAAAUACUAAGAAAAUUAUUUAAAAAAUCAAAUGAAGUAAAUUUAUGAAUGGAAAAAAUUGAGAUUAGAGAAAGAAUUUGGAAUUGGAUGUAAGAAAAUAAAAAAUAAACAAUAGAUAAUUCCAAUAUUAAGGAAAAUAAAGCAAUAGAAAAAAUAAUGAACUAUGGAAAUUUGAGAGAAUUUUGAUUGAGAAUAAGAGAAGAGUUGAGAUAUAAUUGGUUGUGAAAUAAAAAGUCAUCAACUCAUCAUAUUUAUACAUGUUUCUCAUUUAUUAGUUUCCCAAAUUGUCCCUUAUAACAGAAAAAUAACAGCUAUAUUUUUGGAUAAUUUAGUAAAUUACAGUAAAUAAAUAAAUAAAUGAUUAAAAAAUAAAUAAAAUUUAUUUACCAAAAAAUAAAUAAAAACCACCUAUCAUAUAAAAAAUUAUCCGUUACACUCUUUUUUUUUUACAGUUGAAAGUAUUUUUUUUUCACCACUUUUUAUAACUUAUAUAUCAUUUUACUUCUUUUCACUAUAAAUCAAAUCAAGUGAUAUAAAUUUUUUUAUAAAAAUUUUAAGCUACAAUUUUUUGUGCAUCCGGUUCGAACGGGACCGGAACCGCCGGUUCCGGUUCAUAUUUUAACAUUGACAUGAAUCUUAACCGGCCCUUGAACCGUCGGUUUCUGUUCGAUUUCAAUUCGUCAACAGUACGGUUCGAUUCCGAUUAGAAUCGAACCGGUGGCAUGCCUACUACUUCCGAUCUAAGAUUAUUUAUUUAGUUUUAGAUGUAGCGUAUUUUUAAUUUUUUAUUACAGGUUCUUGUAAUAUACCUUGGAAAAAAAAAAAAGAACUUAAAAAACUAGUGCGUCUGACGCCGUAUUCUCUGUUUGGUCACUGAGUUGUCAAUUUGUUGAGGCAUGGUAAACCUGGCAUUAUAUAAACCAUAAAGGACCAAUAAGUAAUUCCGUACCAUCGCAAUCCAAAACCAAAAGGGGAAGGGUCUUCACGGAACCCCUAUAAAUAUCACAAUUUCCUCAAUUUCUCUCAUUUUUUCCGGUUUCACCUUUGUCCUUCCUCUUUCCCGCUCUCUCAAGGGUUAGGGUUUCUCUUUUUCCAAAAUUUCAAUCACAGUAACAAUGUCGACAUCCAAGAAAGUCACUCUCAAAUCGUCCGACGGCGAGACUUUUGAGGUGGAGGAAGCGGUGGCGGUAGAGUCGCAGACUAUAAAACACAUGAUCGAGGAUGACUGCGCCGACACUGAGAUACCGUUGCCUAACGUGACCAGCAAGAUCUUGGCUAAGGUCAUCGAAUACUGCAAGAAGCAUGUCGAGGCCGCCACUGCUGAUAAGGACAAGGAUAAGUCCUCCUCUGAUGAGGCUCUCACGACUUGGGACGCCGAUUUUGUCAAGGUUGACCAGAAUACCCUUUUUGAUCUCAUCCUGGUAAGCUUUUACUUUUCUUUUUAUUUCUUGCCUAGCUUUCACUUUCUUAUUUCUAAUCUUGAAUAAUUUGCUGUCUCUCUUAAUUGUGUGUUAUUUCUUCGAAUGAUACAGUAAGUUUUACUGACGUUGAAUAAUUUUACAAAUUCUCCUCAUAUUGAUUUGUGUUCGUUUUUUGUUUGUUGUGUUGCACUUAUGAGCCUAGAUGUUUGUGAGCACUUAGGUGAAAUUCAGGAUAUUAAUAAUCCGAUUAUGGUUUUUUUUUUUAGAUUAUCAGAAACUGGGUCUUAUUUGCAGUUAGAAUAUAUCUACGGGUAAUGGGUAGAUUAUCCAUACAAUUAGAGACGGGACUCAUUUGCGUUUUAUGUUAUAUGUUCAUUAUAUAAUUGCAAUUUUGUAAACUUUGUAAAUGGUUUGGGAUUCUGAUGAUAUUAAUGUUAUAUAGAAAAUAUAGUUUGGUGGAUUUCUUGUUGAUUGUACCUUUCUAUAUAUUGAUAGCUUCUGCUUUACUGUGUUUUUUAGUAAUAAACUAUGAAACAUGAACCUGAUUUCAAGUCAUGUGCUAGGAAAGGUGAUCUUUAUGUGUGGGGCUUUUACAUGGGUAACUGCCUUCUUUUUGACUUUUCUUUUAUAUGAUUCUGCUUUAUAGCCUUUUCUGUUUAAUUUGCUUUUUUGCUCACCUACUUUUAUCUAUUUGUGCAGAAUAUGUCUUUUACUUUGUGUAUUGUGUGUUAUCUUUCGUCGUCCUCGUUAAAGAUGAGUUGCAAUCACUCAUUUCUAAUUAUUUUUGCAGGCUGCUAACUAUUUGAACAUCAAGAGUUUACUAGAUUUGACUUGCCAGACUGUGGCUGACAUGAUCAAAGGGAAGACUCCGGAGGAGAUUCGCAAGACAUUCAACAUUAAGAAUGAUUUCACCCCAGAGGAAGAAGAGGAGGUUCGAAGGGAGAAUCAGUGGGCAUUUGAAUGAUGAAUGUAAAAUGUCCUUGCAAUGUGCAUAUGAUGGUAUGAUGAUAGGAAUGUCGAUAUACGAUAGGAUGCUGUUUUUGUUCUGUGUCUCUUAAUGUGGAGGAUGAUUGGAAAUUUCCUUUUUAUGGUUGACAGCAUGUUUCUUUGAACACCUUAUUCUAAUGUAAUAGAGUUGAUAUCUAAAUGUGCAUGUCUCAGUUGAUUAUUUUUUUUCGUUGCUUUGCUUUCUUCCUUCAGCUGGUUGCUAUGCAUUAUGAUAAUUGCAAAUUUUGUUCCUGACUGCUAAUUCACAGGAAUGUGAUUGUUCAAUGCAUGGUUUAGCUGAUGAUCAACACUAAGGAUGUAUUGUCUGCUUCUUUAAUUGCUGUCAUUUCUUGCUCGAAUAUGACAGGGUAUAUCAUAUGAAAUAGAUUUUUGAUUAAUCGUGCAAUUUACAUAGGAUAUAAUCAAUUGUAAAAUCAAUAGUUGCUUAUGAAAUAUUUAUUAUUUUUAUUGUAAACAAGGAAAUAUUGAAAGAAUAUCAUUUAUUACUUUUUGAAAUAUACAAAAUGACUUAUAUUUUGAAUCAAAAUAAUAAAUUAAAAAUGAUUUAUAUUUCGGAACAGAGAGAGUAAUCUAUAACUGCCAUCAAUCAAUAUCAACCGUUGAACUAAGUAGACCCAUAGUCUUUAUUGGUUUCAUUCAUUGCUCUUCGCCCCUUCUAGUCUUUAUUUUCUCUUUGGAACCAAUUCAGUUGUUUCCCCUUGUUUUAGGGGGGCCUAUUUUGGUAGAAUUGAGAGAUUCUUAAUAUCUUUUAACCAGUCUAAGGAUUUAUACGAUGAUGGUACAAAAAAAUUGCUUGGAUAUUUCCAUUUGAAGUUUAGAUGUUUUGGUACUAUGAAAGAUUGUUACUCGACUUAUUCCCUCCAUUCCGUUCGAAUUUGAAUGUUCUUAAUUUUUCAUAAGAAUUAAUGUUUAAAUCACCUUAAUUUUAAAAAAAAUAAAAAUAAUUAACUACUUUUUAAUUAAUGCUUAUUUAAUUGAAACAAAAUUUAUUGUAGGAAUUUUUUUUAGAAUAAAAUUUAUUAUAGAUAUUUAGACAAGAAUAAGUUGAAAUAAAAUAAUUAAUGAAAUAAAAUAAUUAAUGCUAUUUUGAUUUUCUAAAAGUGUAAUCUAAUACUACCUUCGUUCCAUAAUACUUGUUACAUUUGUGGUUUCAAGAAAUAAUAAAUAUCUUUCCAUGUUUACCCUUUGUAUAUGGCAAUAAUUAUUAUUUUAAUUUAAUGGUUUUUUUUUGAAAAAAUUAACAUUAAAUUAAGGAUAAUAUAGUCAAUUUACUCAAUAAUUGAUUAUAACUUAGACAAAUUUAAUGUUUUUCUUAAGGAAUGUGAAAUUCCAAAUGUUACAACUUCCUUUGUCCUAUUUAUAUAGAGAAUGUCAAAAUUUCUCUAGAAUUAAUGAGGUGGUCUUUUUGUGAAAUUCUUCCUAAUUUACCCCUAAAAAGAUAUUGAAGUGGUCCCCAAAUUUCAAUAAAAGGUGAUAAAUGAUGAGAGAGAGGAUAUGCUGCUUAAAUAAAGCAUUUUAUUUGUUUAGACUUUCAAUUGCAAAAAAAUGUAGGCCGAUUAAUUGCAAUUGCACACUAAAAUUUCAUUAUUAAAUUUGGCUUGAAAAAAUUAGCGUGGAAGUUGAAAGAAAGUUUGAAGCCAAAAUUUUCUACUUUAAAUUCUUUAUUUUGCUUCUCCAAAUUAACGUAUAAAAAAGUGAAAUUUUAAGUCAAAAGUUUUCAAAACUGAGUGAGUUCACAAUUUUAAAAUUUAAUCCACCAAUAUCAUGGACACAAUCCUUCAUUUUGAUUUGAAUACGGUCCCUCAAUAUUUGCUUGCAACUUCAGAAGAUGUGCCCAUAUUCAACAAUCAACCCUUAGAUUUGAUCUCCUUGUCAUUCACUCAAUAACCGCCUUCUAUAGAAUCUGAAACCACACCACCACCAAGUAACGUUCCAGAAGAGGUUCGAAAAGACAACAAAAGGAAAAACAUCAUUGAAAAUGUGAAAAAUACAGUUUGUAUAUUACUAUUUUCUGAAACUGAAAAGGGCGAGUCAAAUGCUCACAGUAUUCGUAAAGUUGCAGACAUUUUAUCCAUAUCUACUAAGACAAUUUACAGAAUUUGGCAUAACGUAAAAAAUAAUAAUUAUUUUUAUUUAAGCAAUGAAAUUAUGGUUUAGAUUUUGUAUCUCUUUCUUUAGCCAUUUAAGGAGUUCAUGAGAGUAAAUAUAAAUUGCCACAAAUAUUUUUAUUUAAGCACUGUCGUUUGGAGGAAAAUUUUCCUUCAUUCAGGAGCUGUGAGUAAAUUGCACUGUAUGUGCACACUUAAAUGUUAAGCAUAAGCUUCUUAGUGAAAUUUAGUCUGUGUGCAUAAUGUGCUUGAAUCCCAUAUUUUCUUAAUGCACAGUUCAGUCAAUUUUUGAACAUUAAAUGUCAACCACAAUAAUGUCUGCCACUUUCUUAAAAUACUAUUAAAGUAAAUGUUUAAUCUAUAAACUAAAGCAAGAGCAUAUUGGAUUUUUUGCUUUGGCAUUAGUCCCAAAUUACCAUAUUUGGAAAAUUUCUCUAUAUAAAUAGAACGUUCCAAAAGGAAAUUUUCUCUAUAUAAAUAGAAUGGAGGGAGUAUUAUAGAACAGAGGUAGUAAUAGUAAAUCAUAAAUUCUAACAGAUUUUUACUUUUAAAACUUUCAAAAAGAAAAAAAAAACUUUCAUUCAAAUCAAAAUCCUCAUUAUACUAUCUCUGUUCGAUAAUACUUGUCACAUUUAGAAUUUCACUUUUGUUAAAAAAAUAUUAAAUUUUUCCAAGUUACAAUAAAUUAUUGAGUAAAUUGAUUAUAUUACCCCUAAUUUAAUACUAAUUCUCCAAGAAAACCAUUAAAUUGAAAUAAUAGUUAUUGGUUAUAUACAAAGGGUAAACAUGAAAAAAAUAUUUAUUACUCUUUGAAACCACAAAUAUGACAAGUAUCUUGGAACAAAUUAUUUUCUCAAAUGUGACAAGUAUUAUGGAACAGAACAUUUAAUUUUAUGUAUAUGAGAAUCUGUUUCAUUUUUGCAACUAACUUUCAAAUGUUUUUUUACUAUAUAUAUAUAUAUAUAUAUAUAUAUAUAUAUAUAUAUAGAAACACCCCGAAUUUUUAUUUUUGAAACCUUUGAAUUUUUAUUAAAUUAAAAAUCAGAAAUUUUGACUAUGUGGGCUACGAAUAGAAUAUAGUCUCGAUUCGAGCUCAAAUUUGCCAGCUCAGCCCAAGCCCAAAAAUAUAUUAUCGGAAUCUUCGAUACAUUUAAUUUUAUGUAUAUGAGAAUCUGUUUCAUUUUUGCAACUAACUUUCAAAUGUUUUUUUACUAUAUAUAUAUAUAUAUAUAUAUAUAUAUAUAUAUAUAUAUAUAUAUAGACACACCCCGCGUUUUUUUUUAUCCAAAAAUCAAGUAUCAUUAUUAUUAUUGUUUUUAUUGUUAUGGAGUAAAAUGGAGAAAUGUUAUGGAAUCUAACUAAAUUAAUCAAAAUAAAUCGAACCGGGCCCGAAAUUCAAAUUUAUUUUUCGAAAACCACAUGAAUAACCUGAAAACCAAGUAAAAAAAACCUGCGAACCGAGCAAAAUCGAGCCAAAUCUUUGAAUCAGACCAAAUCGGUUCGAAUCGAACCGGAAUGAUCUAGAAAUCGACUUAGUUUCUUCUGUUCUUCCUCUCUUCUUCUUCUUCAGCACGCGCGACAGCCUCCUUCUCCUCCCUUUCCUUCUCAUUUCCGACCCUCGCUCGACGAGAGCGAGGUGGCGAUCGCCUUCCCUGGGGCCUUUAAUCCAUUUUCCCGCCUCCUUCCCCGCUAGCAGAGCCUCCAGUGGCGCGAACGAGACUGUCCCCGUCGACAGUUCUCGUUCUUCGAUCUCUGGCGAUACCAGGCGAUUCUGGCAAUGUGAAGCUUCAAGGUGAGCUCUGAUUGAUUCCUCUGUCUUGUGUGAACAAUUCCCAUCCAAGAAACGACGGUUUUGGUGGAAGGAACUGGAACCGCCAUGAAUAGCGGUAAGGGGCUGCUAUCAAGCUCGUUUCGACCAACUAGAGGGUUGAUCUCACUAAACCAACGCCGGAAAUGGAAUCCUUGCUGAAUUUCAAGUUGAAUGGUAUGAUCGUGGCGAAUUUCUGGGCAUUAUUGAUUUUCUGGCCACUGUAAACGGCGGAGGCGACUGCGUUCCGGUGACCGGCCGGCGAGACUCCGGCGAGGCACCAAGGACAGAAUUUUCCUCUCUUCGCGAGGAUUGUGGAAUCGUCACCCAAAUUUCAAUCGGUACGUUCUAAGACCAAUUUCCUAUUUUUGGUAUAAAUGCUUAAACUUAAUACUUAUUAGUUGAUUAAAUUAAAUUUGAAUGAAUAAUCAAUCAAAUAUAAUUUUUGCUAAGAAUCAAUCGAUAUAAUGUGGAUGCAAAUUAGUUCUGCAUAUUGUUAUAUAUAUUUCAUGAACAUUAGUUACAACUAGAAGGUUCGGUAUUAAGAUAAGAAUUCCUAGCUAAUAUUUAUGUAAGCUAAUUUAGGAAUUUUAAUAAAUAUUGGUAGGGGAGAGUUAUAAUUUAAGGCUUAGACAAGUAAAUAGUUUUAAAGCAAUUAAUAAUAUCAUUGAAUCAUGCUUGGAGGUUAAUAUAGUUUGUUAAUUAGUUAAUUUGGAACNNNNNNNNNNNNNNNNNNNNNNNNNNNNNNNNNNNNNNNNNNNNNNNNNNNNNNNNNNNNNNNNNNNNNNNNNNNNNNNNNNNNNNNNNNNNNNNNNNNUGGGUUGUGUGAAUUGAUUGAUCGAAUAAUUGAUAAAUAAGGUUAUGGCGGACGGGAUGAGUUGAUUUGAAUUGACCGACGGAUGGGCUUAGAUAUUAUAUUGUUGAAUUGUGGUUUAGUCAAAUUUUAGGGGAGGUGCUGCCGAAAUUUCAAUAGAAUCUAGACUAGUUUUAAUUAAUGACAUAAUUAAUAAGUUUAUUUAGAUUAAUUCUAUAACUUAAUACAUAAUAAAUAGAGUGCACUGAUUAUUUAUUAUCUUUAUUAUUCAUUUAAUUAUUUAAUUAUUUAUUUAUUUGCAUUGAUUUUGGAUGUUUAAUUAUGCAUUGCAUUACGAUGUUUAAUUGAUUAAUAUGUCUGCAUUUGAUUGCAAUGUUGGAUUAAUUGUGUUGUGAUAAUGCUAUGCUUUAUUUAUGUGGAAUUGGGAUGAAGUGGGUCACCAUGGGUUUGUGAGACCGUUACUGUUAUAUGGAUCCUGAUUACCGUUACCGUUAUAUACCGUUACUGUUAUAUGGAUCCAUUACCGUUAGCCGGGUAAAUGGCAGAUCGGCGCCCCCGUGUGCACCUACCGUUACCGUUACCGUUAACCAUAGGAUGACUGCUUGUUGUUGCGCACCUGAAAAUCUAGAUUUGAUCGCAGCCCGCAGGGUGGNNNNNNNNNNNNNNNNNNNNNNNNNNNNNNNNNNNNNNNNNNNNNNNNNNNNNNNNNNNNNNNNNNNNNNNNNNNNNNNNNNNNGGCCAGUAUGGGGGAUCGGCUCCCUAGUGCACAUGUGAGUGGAUGAGCCAUGUGGGAGGACGACUCAUCGGGGUUUCGGUGACACCGCUGACUAAUUUCCACGUGAUGUGAUUACAUGAAGAUGUUAACGAUUGUGGGUGCUGAUAAUAUGCAAUUUGUGUGAAUUCAUGUGUUGUGAAAUAGGUAUUCCUUCUUAGAAGGUUCACAUAUCUUGUUUAAUUUUUCAGGAAGUAAGUUUCUCUUCAAUUCGGUUAAGUUAUGUUCCUUUGCGCAGGGCUAGAAGAAAAUUUUUCCAGUUUCAUAAUUAUUUUGCUAUGUAAUUAUAUGUAUAAAAAACUAUGUAUACCAAAUAGUUAGUGACUCCGCAGUUGUAGAAUUUNNNNNNNNNNNNNNNNNNNNNNNNNNNNNNNNNNNNNNNNCUCAAUAUUAUUAAAUAUAUAUAUAUAUAUAUAUAUAUAUAUAUAUAUCAUCAUUCAUGGUUAUGGGAUUACAGUAUAUCUGUUUUGCAACGAAGAGUAAAGCUUAAUUAAUUUUUUAAAUACUUGCCUAAAUCAUUAAGAGCAAUCAUCAAUUAUAAAUUGAUUGCUAAUAAUUUAGCUAAUUUAAUUUAUUAAAUAAAUUUAAAGCGAAAAUUUUAACUAAAAACACUAAUCAAUAUAUAUAUAUAUAAUCUUGAAAAAAAAAAGAAUUUGACUUGACUCUCUCCAUCGAUCCUUCCUAUUUUUCUUUUUCUACAAAUUUUUGAAUUUUCUACUUUAUUUUUUGAAAUUUUUGAUAGGAUGAUUCUUGUUAAUGUUUUUAUAAUAAUAAAAAUUAAUCUAAAAUUAUUGAAUUUUAAAAUUUUUGAAUUUUUUUUAUCUAAAUCUAUGUAGCUAUAUGUAUAUAUCUAUAAAUACCUCCCACUUUCAAUGAUUUUUUCACAAUGGUCUGUCUUCAUAUUGAUUUGUUGUUUCUUUAGAUUAUUUUACUUUCAAUUUUUUGAGUUUUGAUUGUACUAUAUAAAUUUUUAUUUUUUUAUUUUAAUAUAUAUUGUUAUUAUUGUUUUUCAGAUUUUGAAUUACAAAAAGACGAUAUUAGCAAUUUCAAUCGAUAUAUAUCAUGUCUCUUCUUCUUCAAUUAAGUACAAUAAAUUAUAUAAUAUAAAGUAUGUUUAAUAGUAAAUUUUUUCUUGGUCUAUGUAGUUUUUAAGUUUAUGAAUGAAAUGUCAAUAUUUAUUUAUUUAUUUAUUUAUUUAUUAUUAUUAUUAUUAUGUCAUUUCUUUUAUCUGUUUUAAUUAUUAGGUAGGAGAUUAUUAUUAUUUACAUAAAUUAAAAGAAAAAAACAUUAAAUCCAAUAAAUACAUUUAAAAUAACAAAGAGAGCUUAUAAGAUAACAUCUAAUAAAUUAAAAAAUAAUAAAUUUAAUACAUUAAAAAUAAAUUUAGUUACCAUUUAUAUUUAAAAUGAUAUUCUUAUAUCCUUAAAAUUUUGUUUUUAUUAUUUAAAUAUUAAAAAAUUAUUUUUAACAAUCAUAUUUUAAAAUUAAUAGUCAUUGACAAUAAUUAUCUAUAUCUAUAUCUAUAUUUUAAUUUUAAAUUUUGAACAUUUUUGUCUUUUAUUAGAUCACUUAAGAUACUUUUUCUAAGUGUAAAAUUUAAAAGUUUUACUUAUUUAAAAUAAUUAUUUAAUUUAUAUUUGAAUUUUGAAUAUUUUUAAUUUUAUGUUAUGUCUAUGUAUUUAUAACGAUUAUCUGUUUUUAUAUCUAUGUAUCUUCAUCACCAUCAUACUUGAAGAUGAUCAAUAAAAAAAAUUGCAAGUGAAAUAAUUUUAUUCAUCAUCACCAUCAUACUUGAAUAUGAUCAAUUUAAUUUUCUAGCAAUAAUUAUAUGGUACAAAUAUCAUUUAUUAUUUAAUAUUCACUUUAUGAUUUUAAUUUUUUUAAAAAUAAUAAAUAAACUUGGUUUUUCUUUUAUUUGCAGUUGCAAAAAGAUUUGAAUAAAAGAAAUCAUAUAAUCAAUUGCCAAAAUUAUAAUAAUUUGCUUAAGUUGAAAAAUGAACAUAAUUCAUGUUUUUUCUAAAAAAAAAAAAGCCUAAUAAAAAGCACAAAAAUUUAAUUUUAUUAACACACAUAACAGUAAUUGAUAACUCAUCUAAAUCUAUUUUAUAAAAGAAAAUCAAAUAUCCCACGCUGCAGGCCUUUAUCUAGUUAAAAUAAAAUUCUACAAACUGAAAAAGGCAAUUAUGAAAGUUAAAAGUUAGAACUUAGAACAAAAAUUUUCAAACAAUCAUCUGCUUUAUAUAUAUAUAUAAGCCUAAAAAUGAUCACUUUGAGAAAAAAAAAAUCAAGAAGGAAUGUGAAUAAUUUCUGCUACAAAUUAAUAUGGUUAAAAAACAAAUCUAAAUAUUUAAAAUCUAAAAUCUACGUACACAUAAUCAUUAAAUGAUUUUGUAAUGCAAUAAUAAAAGUAAAAAAGGACUAUUAGCAAAAUAAAAAAUAAUUUUUUUUUGUUAAAAAAAAAAAAAUUAAAGUCAGACAACCUGCCUGUGAUUAAUUAGACAAAUAUUAAUUGCCAAUUAUUAAGCAAAUAAACUAAAAAUGUCUCCUUAUAACUAACUCUCAAAACAACGACGAACCAAUUCUCAAAAGAAUCUAAACCCUAACUUUAAUUAACUAAAUAAUAAUUCAUAUUAAAAAAAAUUAACUAAAUAAUAACUAUCCAGUGAAGUCAUGCAUAUAGCUCUUGUAAAGUUCAGCGGCAGCUUUAGCAGCACAAAGACCAGCAGUAAGAUUAAUCUUAUCAUCUUCUAAUCUUCUGCACUCUAUUUCCAAAUCAUUCAUAUGCUUACCCAAUUGCUCGAUAACCGAGCUUUGCCUCCCAACUUCUGCAGAAAGAUUCUUACUCUCUUCUCUUAACUUUCUGCAACUCUUGACUUUCAUUCCAACAUUCUUUAUAGUAAUCUACUGAUGAUUCCACAAUCUGAAUCUUGUCCUCCAAAUCACUUUUCUCACUUAACGUUCUGUUAUAAUUUUUUUCAUAAUCACAAGCAGCACUGUAGUAAUACUGAUGAGCUGAAUUCGCUUCAGAAAGCUUGUCAUUAAGUUCAUUUUUCUCUUCUGCCCAUCUUUUUUGGGCUUCUGCAAAAUCUAACUCCAUUUGUUGAUAAUUUUCUAUUAACUGAUAAACAGAACCAAGCUUUUCAUGUAGUUCUUUUUUCUCCUCAUCAUCAUUUUCAUACUUUCUUGAAUUCUCUUCUUGAACUUGCUCCAACAUUUUUAGACUCUCUUGCAGUUUUUCUUUUUCUGUAGUUUCAUAUCUAAUAUCUGCAAUAAGUUUCUCUUUCUCUUCCACCAACUUAAGGAUUUGCACAUCACAGAAUUUAACUGAGACAUCAAAAUCCUUUUUCAUCUUUUUGAGUGCUUGCUCAAAGAUCCGUUUCUCCAUUGUCAAUUUCUUGAGGUCCAUUUCGAGAAAACCGCAUCCACAUUUCAAUUUAAUUAUUUCUUCGCCUUUUUGGUCCAGUAGUCCAGGUGGUUUCAGUUGUUCUUGUUCUUUUGCUUCUUUCACUUCUUUCUGGUCUGCUACAGUUGCUUUAAGUUCUAUCUUUGAUUCAUGUUUCGAAUUAUUCCUGUUUUGAGCCAUUUCUUGAAUUUUCUCCGAUGUCAACUCAGAUUUCUUUGCUCUUUCUUCCUUAUUCAAGUUCUGUACGUUUCUAAUUUUUCUAUUUUCCACCUCAUUAUUAACAAUAUAAUUUGAUAUGCGUUCCUUGAGAUAAUCCAAAUACACUUUCAUUGAUUCGAGAUGAGCUUUCUCUUUGGAUCUUUCUUUCCUAAUCUUCUCAGCUUCCUCUUUCGAUGCAGCCUCUUUGAUGAUCUCAGCUUUAUCUUUGGAUGGUUCCAUCUCGGUUUCAGUAUUCAAUUUCUUGAUUAGUUCUUGACUCUUAGUAGGAUCCUGCAAAACAUAUUCUGGAAAGUUAAUGGAUAUAUAAAUACUAUCAACAAUAACCAAGGAACUUGAUAUUAAUUCAUUCUAAAUUGAACAGCACUAAACUUGUAUUGUAUUUUGUAUGCCCCAACGAAAUAUAGUAUAGUCAGACAUUAUAUCAGGUUAUUUCAAGAACUUUUUUUAUCAGCAACAUAUAUAUGUAUACUAUUAAUUUAUAUCCAAGAAAAACUUAAUCAUUUUCAGUUUAUAAACCUAAGUUACCUAGUAAAUGCCAGAUAAAAAAAACCUAGAAAACCUCAAUUUACAUCAGAUUGGUUAUGUAAUUACUUAAUCAAAAACACUAAUUGAUAUCAAUGUCAACUCAUGAAAAAAAAAAAAAAAAGUUAACUUUUAACUUUUAGCAUUUUAUGAAAAACUACCUAAAUUAUUAAUAGCUAAACUCUAAUAAAAGCCGUGUUAGUUAAAUAUCUUUUAGCGUAAAAAAAAACUAAAAGCUAACUUUUAGAUGUUACGUUAGUAUUUUAUAAAAAAUUAAUUCCUGUAAAUAGAUAAAAAAACAGCUAAUUUUGCGAAAUAAAUCCAAUUUUAUUGUUGCAGACAAUAUCAAUACAAAGCAGUUACUCUAAUAUAUUGAGAUCAAUAGUCGAGCAAACAAGAAAUUGAUUAAUUAACUCUCUCUCUCUAUAUAUAUAAAUCAAUUACAGGAGAACUUACAUUAGGUUUAGCGGUAGCAAAUUUUUGGAGAAGGCCAUACGAAAGUAGUAUAUGAGAUAUAAUUAUUAUCACCAACGACGUAAAAGCGCCUAAACCCUUAACGUAAACCUCAAUAUCUCCAAAACAACAAUGAAAGAAUAACACAAAAUAGAUCAAAAACCGCGCAAAACAUAUUGUACUAGUACCAUUGGAACUCUGCAAAAGAAAGUUAAUUACUUAAGUAAUUAUCCAUAACUAAAAACGCAUAAUUUAAAUAAAAAAAACAAGCAGCUAUGAUCUUGAAAGGGAUGGGGGAAUACUCGCAAAAGAACCCUAAUUUGGAUACUCACAUAAGUAAUGACGAUGCCAAAGCAGAAAUUAGUGAAAACCAAGAAUGUUAUGGCCAAACGUAAUUGAACUGUAUAUUGACUUAGAGAAAUACAAAUAAAUUUUAAAAUUAUCAGUCGCUCAAUCCAGAAAAUUGCAGUGAAGGCUAUGUCAUCAAGUUUCGUGUCUUCUUCUCCUCUCUUAACAAUAUUGGCCAUUGUUUGUUUGCUUAGCGGAAAAGUAGCAAUACGAAAAAUAUGAUUAGGGUUUUAUGGUUUAUACAUAGGCUAUUAUAUUUUUCCUAUAUAUAGGGUAAUUUUUACAUAAUUUGUUAUGGUUUAGGAUUGGCUGAGAAUCAAAUCGGUACGUGAAUGGAUAAAGAGUUUAUUUUUUUAAAAAAUAGCAAUUAAUCUCAAUUAAUAAUUAAUAAUUAAUAAUUUUCAAACAAAACUGCAAUAGCUAAUAGCAAUGUUCUGUUCUUAUAGGGAAAGUAAUUUAGAUGGGUAUAGGAUGUAGAAUGAAUUUGGUGCUUGGAGGAUUUAUAGAAUCCAUUAAAGACUGAGUCCGUAUAGGUCAAAAUCUUAAUUCUUAAUUCGAAGAAAAAGAAUGGGGUGAUUACAGUGUGAAUUUAGACUUAAAAUUUUUAUGGAAAUCUUUCAUUCCUGCUGCUAAAGAAUAUAAAAAUAUUAGAGAAAUAGAAAAUAUAUAGAAUAAGAAAACAAAGAUAAUAAUUAGUCUGCCUAUGUAGUCUACAAGAAAGAAAAGAGGAGAACUUUGGUUUCCUUGGGUCACUGGCCAUCUGCCGGGAGUUUCGGAUUUAUGGCUUGGGUUAGCAAUGGGACACUCUAAUUGGUUUAAUUUAAAGUUUAUCAAGUGGUUUGGUUUGCGGACCAAUCAUUUCUCUCCACUCUCUUUGAAUUGAAUGUUACACUAUAAGUAAAAUAAUGUCACAAUAUCAGAAGCAAUAUAUUCCUAAGAAUAUAUUCUUUGACGAGAUUCCCACUGAAAGGUUCAAUUGUUACAUUAUAAGUUUAACAAUUUAUAGGUGAGAUUGUCACGCCACAGUUAACAAACAAAAUAUUAUUGUUAUUGUUACACUAUAAUUACAACUAUAGUGUUGCAACCUACAAAUAUAAAAUAUGUACUGUGUCAUUGUUAGUGUAAUAAUAUAUUUUGUUUACACCUCAACAAUUUGAUGCCAUGAAAGAGAUGUUUGUGGGGAAGAAAAAUAUUCUUGUAUUAGGCAUAAGAGGUAUAAGAACUAUAAAUUAUUAAAUGAAAAAAAAAUGUGUAAGAAGUGUAAAAGAGUAAAUUAUUAAAAGAAAGAAAUUUCUUUGUAAGUGCAAGAGAAUAUUUACUAUUCCACUAUUCUAAUCCGUGAAGCUUGGUAAAUUGUAAGUGUAUAUAAAGGAAAGAACAUUGCUUCUCCCAUUUAUCUACAUGAGGAGUGCUUUUCCCUUAGUCUCCCCUUCUUGCUUUGGUAAGGUUUAAUUUUUUUUUUUUUUGUUAAUAUAUUUUGUUACAUAUUUGUUAAUAUAUUAUGUUCAGAUAUGAAUAUGAGUGUUAUAAUAUACUUGUAAACUUAAAGAAUAUAUUCUUUCUGACACUGUGACAUUGUUUUAAUUAUAGUGCAACAUUCAACAAAAAGAGAGUAAAGAGAAUAUUGUUCUAUAAAACUGCUGGACAACAUUAAUAUAAAUUAAAAUUGAUUAUUUUUAUUGCAGUCAUAGUGUAAUAAUGCAUUUGUUAAAUUAUGACUAGAAUAAAAGCCUUUGAAAUGUCAACAAAACAUUGUUAUGAUAAAUAUCAAUAGUUCAUAAUAUAAAUUUAUGGAAAUUUAAACAUCUAAUUUCUACAAUUAAUGAGUUAAAGAUAGCAUAAUAAAAUUAUUUGAGAAAAAAAUUAAAUAAAAUCAAAAUUACCUUGUUUAUGCUCAAUAUUGAAUCACCUCUAUUUAUCUUCAAGACAAGCAACCGUAUCUUCUAUUAUCAACUUGCUGUAUAAAGUGGUUAGAAAUCAAAAGACACAUUAUAGUACUUACCCUUUCAUAAACUAAUGUGGUUAUGGAUUUAUAGCUAUUAAGGAAAAUAAAUUGGGCACGCUUCGCAUUUCAGUGACCUAGCAGCCAAAUUAUGUUAUGCUGUUUAACCUAGCUUUUUAACUACUGAUGGAAGAGCAUUUAGCAUCUCAAAGGGACCUAUAAAAUGCUAUCAUUGAAGUACGAGAAAAUAUCGGUCAAUUAGAGGUUACAAAGCUGACCCAACUGUAGGGUAGAGCAAACCGUUUGUUAAGUUCAAACCGAAAUCACAAAAUAUAAACCGAAGUUUCUUUAUAAUAAAUCAAACUGGAAAGAAUUUUUGUAAUGAAUCGAAUCAAUCGAACUGAAUCAAUCGGUUUGGUCUAUUUUUAUCGUUUUCACCGUUUCAGUUUUGUUCUAAAUCCAAUCACUGAAUAUUUAUGUAACCGAAUUGAACUGAACAAUAAAUUUGAUUCAAACCGAAUAAUCUGACUGACCGAACCUCUCUUGGGCAUCAGACCGAAUAAACCGAAAUGAGUCGGUUUGAUUUUCAAUUCGGUCCUACCGAUAAUUUUGCUCGCCUCUACACAUGAAAAUAUCCUUUUAACCUAAGAAGAUUAUAAUAUAUGUUUGACCCAAGAGAACGUGGGUCGACCUCGGCCGUUCUAUCAUUAUCUAGGCAGCCUACGGUUAGUUAAGUGGGUCAAGGAGCAAAUUGAUAUUUAGAGGACAUCAAUCAAUAUGGCCCAUCUAAAUUUAUAAUUAGACUUGGGCCAAGAUUAUGGAAGGCCUCCAAAGCAAAAGGAAUAUCUAAUAUAUGGUGCCUAUCCUGAAAAUUAUUAAGAAUAUCUUACAAAUUAACUUGAUCAAAUCUUUUUUUUUUCUUUUAAGAAACUUGAUCAAAUCUAAUAUUCUGAAAAUUUUCAAAUACAUUUUUUAUAUUAUUCUAUGCAUCUCUCUAUAACCUACGGGUUGUGACUCAGUUGGCAAUAUAGACUGAGCAGGUGGGAAGAGUUCGGGUUCGAUCCUCACUAAAUGCACUUGCAAUAGAAAUGUGAGAAACCUUAAUUGUGACUAAGUUCCGAGCUGGAAAAAGACAUCCUGAUGAUGGAGUCCGAAUACCGGUAAUUUAUUUUAAGAAAAAAUGCAUCUCCUAUAUGAUAAUCCUUCAUUAAUUUGUUAGACAUAUGAUUCUAUUGCUAGGGAAACUCAUUCUACAAUAACAGUAGCAACAUGUAGAAAUAAGUGUAAGUAACGAAAGUAAUAGCUAAAAUGAAUUAAGAACUUAACACUAAAAUAUUUAAAAACUUUUCAGAAAAAAAAAUUACUGCUCCGUUUAUUUCUGUAAACUAACUUACUGAAAAAUAUUUUUGUGGAAAACAUUUUCCUUGAAAAAUAUUUCUCAAAUAACUUAUUUUCUAUUAUUUGGUUAUAAUAUUGAAAAUUAGUUAAAAAUAUUAAAGUUUUUAUCUCAUAAGAUCAUAAAAGAUAUUAAUAAUAAUAGACAUUUUAUAAUUUAAAAAUUUUAUUGUUAAAUAUGAAAAGCAUGCAAAAAAAAAAUGUAAAUUAUGAAAGUCGUCGGUGGCUGGUGGUAAAUGAUGACUGGUGGUAGUGACUACGAUGAUUAAUAAAUUAAAAAAUAUAUAAAUAUAUAAGGUUUCCCAAUGUCCGAAAAAUGUUUUACUCUCUCAAAUAUGAGAAGUUAUUUCCUUAAAAAAUGACUUAAUUUUCCAUUGAUUAGGAAAACAUUUUCCAUUUACACAUUUUCCUGAAUACUCCAAACAAUGGAAAAUUGUAAAAAAUAUUUUCUGUAAAUUAUUUUACGAAAACAAACGGACCCUAACAUGAAAAAUAAUCUAAAUUUCACAGUCCAACAUGGCCUAUUUCGUUUUCCAAAUGAGCUAACUCAUAGAUGUUUUAAGUUUAUUAACUAUUUAAUAAUCAAAUAAUAAUUUGCUAAGUGAGGCAUAAUUUUCCAAAAAUAACUUAAGAAAGAACAUGAGUUAAUAAGAACUAAGAGAUCGUACAUGUCUUAGAUUAUCUAAUAUAAUUUGGAUUAGACAGAGGCUGUAAAAGGCAGGGACGAGAAAUUAAAAAAAAAUAAAGAAAUAAACAGAAAAAAAUAAAUAAUUUGUUUCAAGUUUGGUAGUUACAUUUUAGUGAUAUUAAAAUACUUUUUAAUUUAUUUUCAUUUUUAACUCUGUCAAGUGGUUGCAUUUUUCUAAAAACAAACACAUAAAUGCGUAAACUAAUUUAAUUUAGUGGUUAAAAUGCAUUUACUUACUUAAUCCUGGUGAUUGUAGAAUUGAGCCAUAGAAUUAAACAUUUUAAGACUCUAAACAAAAGAACAGGAGUGAGAGGAUAUCUUUAGUAGUAAAAAUAAACAAACAUAUACAGAAUAUAAAGAAUUUUAGCGGAAAAAAAAGAUCCAUAGACCCUUUUUAAUAUGUAGAUUGGUACUGUUAAUAAUUUUAUGAUGUUUGAUCAUAUGAAAUGAGAAAACAACAAUCACGUAUUAUUUUGUUACUUAGAUAAUAAACGAAUGGUUUUUGCUUGUGAAACAUCGUAACAUUAUAAUAGAAGAAUGCCUUAGGUUUCAUGCCGUAUGACAUACAUAGAAUAUUCACCGAGAAGUUCGCAAUUAAAAGAGAUAAUUUAUAUGAAUAAUAAUUAUAUAAUAAAUAUAAGUGACAAGAAUUCCUUACAAAAAGAUAAUAAACUGUUAAAAUUAAAUUGCAAAAAUCUUCGACUAUUUUCAUUUACUGAAAUCUAUUCUUAAUAAUUUUAUUGUCAAUAUUAUCAAAUAUAUAUCUUUUAAGGGUAAAUCAUUAAAUAUACUCCAAACUUUACGUAUUGUAAUAAUUACACCUUAAAAUGAACUUAACCUCUCAGGCACCCCAAUUUAGGCAUGACCGGUUCAAAAUUUUUAAAAUGUUGAACCUGAACAAGUCCUUGAACAACCGGUUCCGACUCUGGCCGGGUCCGGUGCGGUUCCGUUGAACCGACUGUUCCGAUCAUGGUUUCCGGCGAUAUAUGUUUUUUUUUUAAAAAAAAAAAUCAGUUUUAACGUUACAUCUUUUUUUUUGAAAAUAUUAAUAUGAGUUUAAAAAAUAUUGGUAAAUUUUAUUUUAAAUAAAUUUUAGAAUACUCAUACUCAUAUAAGAAUAAAAUUAAUUAAUUUUACAAAAUAAUCAAAUAAGUUAUCACUUUAUUUUGUUCAAAUUUUAUUAAUUAAAUAAAUUAUAAGAAAAUUUUGAAAAAUGCUUCAAAAGAAUGUAAUUUUAAACUUAGUAAACAAUUUAAAAGGGUAAAAAAAAAAAAAGAGUUAAAAACAAUAUAAGUUUAGACUAAAUAUUUCUCUCUUUUUUCUACCAUUUUACUUUUUAGAUUUUUAACUUUUAAAGUAAAGUGUAUUUAAAAAAAAAAAAGAACUUAAGUAAAGUAUAUCAUGUAGUAAAAUAUUAUUGAGACUUUUAGAGAUGUAUAAAAUAGGCUAAGUGAUUAUUAUUUUGAAAAUAAAAAUAAAAAAUUUUCGGUUCAAAUCGAACUGAAACCGCCUAUUAACUGACGGUUCAGGUUUAGAUUUUAGCAUUGACAUGAACCUUAACCGGCCUUUGAACUGCCGGUUUCAGUUCAUCUACAGUACAGUUCGAUUUUGGUUCAAAAUGAAUCGGUGGCCAUUCCUACCCCAAUUGCAAACUUUUGUGAAAAUUGUACCCUAAUUUUAAUUUGGUCAAAAUUAAAUAAUAAAAUAAUAUUAUUAUGGGACCUAUAGUAACUACUUGGGUUGAAUUAACCAUGCCAUGGGUUAAGUGAAACAGAUUGUGUCACUUAAGGUUGGCUCCCUCACUCUCCUUAAUCUUUCUUUUCUUAACCACUCUUCUCCUUUACCUCACCUUUCCAACAAAACGACCAGUAACAUAGAAGAUCAAAGCACACAGCAAACUAUAAUUUUAAAUCAAACAGUAACACUAUGAACACAAAAGGGCACGAGUUAACCCUUUAGUGCUAUCAUAUAUGCUUCCCGAGCUAUUUUCUAGUCUCUCCUAAUAGUGACAACUUCGCCCUUGUCAUAUUAAAACUUCAUGGUGAGAUACUUGAUGCAUGUGGCCGCUUCCAAUUCAUAUACGGCUAGUCUUCCCAAUAUGACAUUGUAUCGAAAGUGAAUAUUUGCUACCAUGAACUCCAAUUUGAGUUUCCUUGAUGAGACUUCGGUUCUGAGCUCUAGAGUUAUGUCUAUAGAUCUAGACACUUGUACAGGUUUUCCUGCCAAGCCGACUAAAGGGGUUUGGAAAGUUUUAAGUUUCGCCUGGUCUAGUUUUAAAGCCUUGAACACUUCCAUGUUCAACAAGUUCAUUGCACUACCUCCAUCCACCAAGAUUCUUUUUACUAGAAAGUUUUCCAAAAUUCCCUCAAUUACUGGGGCAUCAUUGUGUGUGGUAUUUACAAGUUCACCGUCAGCCUCAGAGAAUGAUAUGGGCGGCCUAACACUUGGUUUUUGCUAGAGUAGAAUGGAAUAGAUUUUCCUGGCUCUCAUUUUCCUAGCUGAAUUACUGUCACCUCCCGUUGACCCACCAAAUAUGGUGUGGAUUGUGCCCAGGGUAUGACAUUCUUACACCUGCUUGUCCUUUUGUUCACUUUCUCUCCGAGCUCUCCCAACAAAUUACUUUAGUUUGCCUCUUUACACAAGGCAUUCUGUCUCUUUCUUUAAUUACCAGCAGGCUUCAAUCUCAUGGCCUACAUCGCUAUGGAACUCGCAAUACUUGCUCUUAUCUCGAUAGCUCGAGGUAUCCUCCUUUAUCUUUCUAGGAUAAUAGAACUGAAUUUGAUCGCAUUGUUCUCUUACCUGGGCCAAUAUUUCUGAAUGCAGUCUAUUCAAAUGGGUAAACUCCCGAUCUUGUUGUGGUUUGCCAUCUCUUGAGUAUCAUGUUCGAAUAGAGUAACUGGUUUGUGGGAACCAGAUGGACGACCUCCUUCGGGGCGAUCGUCUCCUUACCGGGGAUGGGUGUCUUUUGUGUCUAUACCUCUCUUCUUUGGGCGAUCUAUGCUGUUGUGCCUCAUAGACUUCAUCUAGUUUUGUGUAUUUGUGAGCUCGUGUCAUGAGUUUGGUGAAUGUUAAGGGAGGGUCUAUACUUAAACUCUCAAAUAACUUGUUGUACCUGCAAUUCUUUGCCUUGUCGCUAAUGGCCACCUUAUCAUUCAAGUUCUCCAUUUGUAUCGCCAUUCUUUAAAAUUUGGAUACGUAUUACCUUAGGGUCUCCCCCUCUUCUCUUUUUAAACUACAAAAGUUUGACAAUAUUUUUCUGGAUGGUACACAUGUUAUGAAACGAGCUCGAAAUGCUGUGGCUAACUGGGAGAAGUAAUGAACGGAUCAUGUUUUGAGUGCUUGAUACCACUCUUGAGCUGCUCCUUUCAGGGUAAUUGGGAAGACUUUGCAUAUUAGAUCCUCCAAGUUUAUUUGAAGGUUCGGAAGAUCGCCAGAUGGCUUUGGGGAUCGGUAGAUCCAUCAUAUGCUUGGAAAGUAAGAAGUUUGAACUUCAAUGGGAAGGCUACAACCAAAAUAUCAGCUGACAAGAGCGAGUCUUGUCGGAGACCAUAAUCCCCUGUUUCUUCUGUGUCUCUACACUCUCGAACUAAUUCUUUGACAACAUUCCGGAGAUUAGCUCCGUCCAAGAUUGGCUGAGUGUGACUUAGCUCUUAGUUGUUGAGGUUAGUCACACUAGGGUCUACUUCAGAUUCUGCCUCAUAGUAUCGAUCAAACAUUGAAUGACUUUAGUAUAUAGGCGAGGUUGGAGGGAGGCUAUGUUCUAGGUGGGGAGGGUUCACCAGCUUGGUGGGUGGUACUAGCUCGCUGCUUGGCUUAGGGUUCUUCAAGAGGCGUUUGGUGGUGAACUGUGAAUAAGCAUGAGCUAGAGCAACUGCUACCUGAAGAUCAGUGGUCAUUGGAGAGGUGAAUGUGGGUUGUUGGUUGAUCCCACCAUAGGUGUUGUCUUGGCCUUUCAUGUUGAGGCAUUCACUGUACUCGUUAGCCAUAGGAACCGAGAAAAACUAUAGGGAUUUUUUUUUAGAGUUUGAAUGUAUAUUCCACCGAUUCCACGGUCAGACUUUAAGGUGUAGUAAAUUGUGAAACCUUUCUUAGAGUAAAUUUGGAGUAUAUAUACACUAGGUCCAGGACAAUUGUAUUAGGAUAAGAAUUACGAAUCCUAUAUUAUCCAUUAAUUAGAAUUUAUUUGAAAAUGUAGUAUUAUUAUUUUAAUAUAUUUUAUUAUUGUAUGUUAAUAGAAACAAUGAAAGGAAAAAAAAAAAAAAAAGGAGACAAUGCUGUCAAUAAUCGCUCAACCAUACCUUUUAAAUCUCCACGCGGAUACCAGAAAAAAUGGGCUUAUCAUGCUAGUAAAUAAACAAAUAUCCAUUUUCUUAUUUGAUUUUGUACCCAUAACUCAAUCAUAAUGCUAUUGUUUCGAAAGAGAAUGCAUAGAAAAAGGAGUGCAAGGGAAUCAAAUCUUAAGGAAGCAGACCUGAUAUUCGAGAAGAGGAGAUUUGGAGAGAUGGAGAUUGAGAAGAAGAGGAAUAGUCUUUGUCUUAUCAAAAGGGUAUUUAAGUCUUUCACUCAGCAUUUAACGGUAAAAAUUGCUAAAAUUAAACUGAAGGACCAUUUAAUGAGACAGAACCAAAAGAAAAACAUGAGGAUGAGUUAAUUAAUUUUGUAAAAUCUCAGGAACGAAAUAAUUAUUUUUCCUUAAUUAACUUAUUAAAUACUACAAGUAAGUCAAAUUCUAUAAUUCAAAAAUAAUUCAUUAAACUCUGUAUAUUAUAAUGCAUCGAGAGAAAUUAAUAGUUAUUAAAUCAAGAAUUAAUAGACUAUGAAAGCCAAUAAUUAAAAAAGAAACGAAAUUACAAAGUUAAAUAGGAUUUUAAUUUUUUUAAAAAAAUAAUUAUUCAAAUAUUUUCCGUUUAUAAUUUCAAGGGGCCAUUUGCCUCUUGCCCAAAUGUGGCUCCGUUCAUGCUUAUUUUGUUAAAAUAAAAGUAGUUACACUGCUAUGGCGUUAGCAACAAUAGCUUUGAUAAUAAUCUUAUCCCUUUUUUAUAAUUUUAUAAAAAGAAUCAACGUCCUUCAAUUGAUUGAAAUAAGAAUAUAGUUUUAAAUUAGAAUCCAGAAACAAUGUAACUUUUAUUACCUAUCAAGAUUCCAUUUGUUUCUCAAAAAUAAUUUGUUUGAAAAUUAAUUUUUAAACUUUUAAUGAUUUGGUUACUUAAAUAAUUAAUUAAUGAAAUAUAUAUUCUUAAUUAAAUGAAAAACUCUUUUAAGAAAAAUAACUUAUUAUUUUUAAAAGAUAAAAAUAUUUUUUUAUGUUAACAAAUUUAUUAUAAUCUUAUAAAAACACAUUUAUUAAUUCAUUAAUUAUGAAUAUUCACCAUCACUAGUCACAGGCAAUUACUGGAUAUUAAUAAUUAAACUUUUUAUGCAUUUUUCUCAUAUUUAAUUCUAAAUAUUUAAAAUACCUAAUUUGUGCAAUUAUAAAUAUUUUAGAUUCUUAUAAAUUAAAAUUUUUAAUAUUUUUUAUUAGUUUUUAAUUCUACAACCAAUUAACAGAAAAUGAGUUAGUAAGAUAUUAAAUAUUCUUCAAGAAAUAUAUUUUACUUUGAAACAUAUUUUCAAAAAUAAAUUAUUUUCUAGCAACAUGCGGCUGUAAAAUUUUUAAUUUGAAAAGGAAACAGUAAUGGAAAUUAAAAACCACCCUUAGAGAAACCCAUGAGCUGCAUCAAGCAUGCAAUAAGCAUGGAAUAAAUGUCAAAUCCCACCGUCCAUAACAAAUCCACUAAAAUGACAUCCAAACCCAUCAUCGUACAAAAUGAAAUAUAAUAUAAAAACAUAAUAUUCCAUCCCCUAAUUAACAUCAUCAUAUUAUGUACGUACCAAUGACCAUACGAUACGAUUUAGAAUUUCGCAUCUAAUAUUACACGGUCCAAACCGCCCCAAUUCAUUAAUUUUAUUUAAUAAAUUUAAAAUAGAUGAGUGGAUUAAGACUGCGUUGAUAUUAGGUUUGAUUUUAUAAGAUCAACCAAAUCCCGAUUUAAAUUUAUUAAAAAUUUAAAAGAAAGAAGAAGAAAUCGAUUGGAUUUGAGACUCUCUAUGAACCUGUUUUGAUGACGUAGUUUGUUUACUUUUUGAUUAUAUUUGAUUCUUUGUGUAUAUACGACGUCACAUUAAUGGCACGAUGAAUGCAUGUUUCCUUUUCAUGCAUUUUGUUUGGACGUGUUUGGUUCAUUCAAUUCUUUGUUUUAGUUCAAUAAACCGGUGGUUUUUGGACUCUUGACGCUUUUAAAUCCGUCCUCGUAUUCGGAGCUUGCUGGUUUUGUUCUCAUUUCCAGUUACGACGCAAUUCUAAAAAUGCUCAGUUCCGGCCAGUCGUUGAAUCUUUUUCAGUCUUUCUUUUACUGGAAUCGAUCAGCCUAUUGAAUUGAUAAUCUUGAUAUAAUUUAAGUCAAGUCCAAUACCUUGAUUUCGAUAUUUUCAGAAUCAGAACUCUCAAAUUGAUUUUGAUCCAACUUACUAAAUUGAUUCUCAUACUAACCCGACCUGUGGCUAGUGUUAAUUUUGUUACUAAAAUAUAUAUAUAUAUAUAGCUUAUUGUUUAAAAAGAAAAAAGACUUAAUUUAAUAUAGGAGUUUUUUUUUUUUUCUAAAUUGAAAUCAAAUAAUCCUAAUUUUUUAGUUUCCUUUGUUUGGAUGGAUGAAAUGUGAUUCACGGAUUUGAAUGAUAUUUUUGCAAUGGAAUUAAGUUGUCUAAAUUCCAUCAUUAAUUAAAAAAAUAUGGUCUUAGAGAAAUUUUACCUAUUAAGGGGUUUUUUUUUUUCCUUCUAAAAUUGUAGAACUGAGGUUAUGAUUGGUAAAUUUCAUGAAUAUUUUUUCUCAACAAACAAAAGAAUUUGUUAAAUCUGUAAUAUUUAAAUUGUAUCAUUCAAAUUUUACUAAUCAAAGCAAUUUCAAAGUGCAUUUCUUAUAAUAAUAACUUCAACAAAUACCCGUGAUAACUUGGUCUAAUAGUUAAAGCACACUAGAUCUCACUAUGAUGAUCGCAUGGUCGAAUUGUGAAGUUGGCAUAUUAAAAAGGUCUUUUAAACAUAAUUGCUCUUCGGCGCAUAAGAAAGUAGUCUCUCGUCUAAUAUUAUAACGCCUUCUAUACUUACUAUGAUUACUUGCCUUUUUUUCAAAAAAAAAAAAAAAUUAUAUACACAUAUUGUUUUUAAAUAUAAUAUUAUGGCAAGGGAUUGAAUUACAUGGGGAAAAAAAAGUAGAAGAUUUAUAGGAUAAACAAUAUAAUAUUUACAGUUGCGCAUCCAAAAUUACACGGUCCAAACCGCCCCAUUCAUUAAUUUUAUUUAAUGAAAUUAAAAUAGAUAAGUAUAUUAAGACUCAAGAGAGUUAAAAAAAGAAAAGUUAAAAAAUGAUAAUAUAAAAAAAAGGCAAGUUAAGAGUUUGCCUUAAUAAUAAAAUGAAAAGUAAAAAUAUUACAGCGGUUUAUGAGCUGGCUUUAUUUAUAAUGAUAAGUAUGAUAUAUUAUCUCUGUUUUUAGUAAUGUAAUAUGAUAUGUUAUCUAAACGCAUGGAUAUGUUAUCUAAAUGCAUGCAUGUAAUUAUAUAUGUUAUUUUAUGAUGUGCUUAAUUUUUCUCGUGUUAUAGUCGUUCAUGUAAUUUUUUAUUUAUAUAAUAUUAAAAUAUUUUUAAUAGUGAUUAAUUUAUAUUGCAUUUUAUAUAUAUAAUAAUUUUUUUUGUUACAUGUCUUUCAAUGUAACAUUUAAUUAAAAAGAACCACUCAAAAAAAUAUUUAAUUAAAAAGAAAAUGAUACUUAUAUUAUAUUUUUAAAAUAACACUUUUUAUUUGUAUUCUCUUUGAGCUAUUGAUUCACUACAACGUGGAAAACAUCUGUUAAUUAGGUAAACUGAGUUGAUAUUAGGUUUGAUUUUGUAAGAUCAACCGAACCCCAAUUUAAACUUAUUAUAAGAAAGAAGAAGAAAUAGGAUUGGAGUUGAGAGUCCUUAAUAUGAACCUGUUUUGAUGACGUAGUUUAUUUACUUUUUGGUCGUAGUUGAUUCUUUUUGUGUACGUACAUAUACGCCAACGUCACGUCAAUAGCACGCAGAAUGCAUGUUUCCUUUUCAUGUAGUUUGUUUGGACGUGUUUGGUUCAUUCAAUUCGUUGUUUUAGUUCAAUAAACAGGUGCUUUUGGAUUGCUGAGGUUUUUAAUAAAUCCGGGUCGAACACCUUGAUUUCAGUAUUUUCAGAAUCAGAACUCCCCGAAUUGAUUUUUCUAAAUAUAGCAGUAAUAUAUUUUUCUAAAUUGAAAUCAAAGAAACCUAAUUUUUUAGUCUCUUUCAUCAAAUUGAAAAAACAAGCACUUAUUUUAAUUAAUAAAAUUUGAAAUCCAUGGAUUUGAAUGUUAUUUUUCAAUAGAAUUAAAUGGUUUAAAUUCAAUCAUUAACGACCAACAAAGUAUUGGUUAAGGUGGUAAGCAAUCUCGAUGUCCAUAAAGGUGUCAGAUUGUGACAUCCUUUUGUUCAAUUUCUACAUAUUUUCCAUGAAAUACUUUAUGAAUGAUGAAAAUCUAAUAAUAUAACGGAAGCAAAAUAUGGAGAUAUAUUAAUAUAUUUAAAAAAAAAAAACAGAAACAGACCAGUUGUAUUUCAUAAACCGCAAAGAUGGUGUUAUAAUUCUUCCAUUUGAGUUUUGGCUUCUCGAGGGCAAAGGCAUAUACAAAUUGUGAAAAGCUCUUGAUAGUGAAUGAGAGCUGGACGACACUAACCUAAAAUAUAGUUAUAUUAGCGGUGGUGUGAUAGUUUCACAGCACCUAAAACUAUGUUACUACCAACUAAAACGUCACGCUCUUCUUCCAAAUAUGCACCAACUUCAAAAAAUUUAUGAUAAAAACAAAGUUUAAACAACAUUCCUUUGAGCAUUUAUAAUUUAUACUUUUAUUUGGGUUAAUUAGGUAAUAUAUAUCUAUCCUUCCGAUGUCAUUAAUUAAAAUUAUUUAUACCGUUACUAACUUGGUGAAUUCGAGUGUAAUCUGAUUUAUUUUCUUCUUUUCUGUCAGAAUGUGAGAGAUUUUUUUAAAUCGAGAAUUUAAUGAGUCAAAGAGAGACCUAUUUAUUUUGGUUCAUUAAUUCUUAUAAUGAAUAAAAAAAAUAUACCCUCGAACAUGAUAAUCACACCAACGAUUAUAUGAAAAGAAAAAAUAAAUCUUUUUAAGUGAAUUCAAUGAAUACAUUUUGAUCAACAUGCUAAAAUAUAAAUAUCAAUAUUCUAACUUGUAAUGCCCUAGAUUUUUUUUAUUAUCUAAAAUAAAUAAUGCAAGUGACUAAAAUGGUUAUUCAAAUUGAUAAAAUUCUACUUAUUUUAAUUUGAGUUCAUGAAUAUAAUGCUUUUACUAUAAUGUAGAAUAAAAGAUUUCUGUAUUGAUACAGAACUCAAAUAAUAUGACACUUGUGCAUAAUAUAUAUAUAUAUAUAUAUAUAUAUAUAUAUAUAUAUAUAUAUAUAUUCUAUACCUGACGAGAUUGAAUUAAACGGAAAAAUUAAAAGAUUUAUAGAAUAAAAAAAAAAAAAAUUUACUGUAAGCUUUAAUUACAAAUGACUGAAAAAUAUUAAAAUUUAUAAAUUAAAUAAUAAAGAUAAAUCUUAUUAACAUAAAUUUAAUUUUCAAAAUUAUCUAAUUCUACUCAUUUAGAAAUAUUAACUCAAUUAAAAAUAAGUGAUCAACUUAAAUAACUCCUUGAAUUAUGGUUCAGCAAAUUAUAUUUACAUUAAUAAUCUCAAUUAUUAAUAUCUUUUUUGAUAUUAAUAUCAGAAGUUCAAAUUAUGAGUGUUUCAAGUAAUUGCAUUUAUAUUAUCGUUCUAAUUUAAAUUAUUCUUAUUUAUAAGAAGUUCUUAAUCUUAAUUAGUGCUAUAUUGUUUGAGAAAAGCGGGAUUCGAACCUGAAUCUAUUGUCGGAUCAUAUAUACACUUGCCAUUAGAAUAUGCUUUAGUGUGUAUGAUUAUAUUUCUAUAAUAUACUAUAAUAUAGAAACCAUAAUGUCUUGAAGUAACCAUAAUGUCUCUUGAUUGAAAAUUUUCCACCUGCAACUGGAAGAUGCUAGUAAAGAAUCUAUGCCUUCAUGUGUAAACUUGGCCGUUGAGACCUUUAUGUAAAAAGAAAGACUAGUGACAUUUUGACCGUAAUUUUUAAGGAUUAAACCUAUAAAAAUAUCCUCAAUGUAACAUCCCUUCCCGGUCCACCCAUUAACCCUAAUGAACCGAGCCGAGACGCUACAAUUUGGUUGAACCUAUGUCCUGUCAUGCUGAUAUCAUCCUGUAUGCUAAAUAUUAUGUCAUGUUUAACAUCACUCCCAAUUAAACUCCAAACUUCCAACAUCUCCAAAUAAUCAUCAUAACACAAUAACACUAUUAUAUUUUCAUAACUGUAUAAAUCCUCAAUAGUAUUGAAUAUCCAUCAAAUAAUUGCAUUCAUGACAUAUAUCAAGUCUUAAUGAACUAUUUAAAAUAUUUCAUAUUCAAUCAUUUAAUAAGUAUUAUUCUUCUCUCCAAAUACUUACGCCAAAAUAAUUACAUGCUUCAAUUAUAUUUCCAAUAACAUAAUCUCUACAAAUGUAAUAAUUAUACAUGCUAUAAUUCUUAAUUAUAUAAAUCUCAAUCUCCUACUACCAAAGUAGUCACUUCUGCUUUGAUAUUACUCUUCACAUCUUCAAGUAGCAACCACAAUCUUCAACCUACGCGUAAUAAAAAUCGACGCGCUGAGUAUAAAACUCAGUGGUGCUCAUAAUUCACAUACUUACCAAAGUUGCGAUGGCAACUUACUUAAAAUACAAAUUUCAUAAAAUCAUUGAUAAUCAUAGAAUCAUUAAAUUUCAACAUAAAUUUACAUCUAUAGCAAAGAAAUAUCAAAUAAUCAUAUAAUUAAUAACAUACAUAAUUUAGUUCUAAUUAUACCAGAAAUCCUUUACAUAACCAUUUAAUCACACAUAGCAUUAUAUUUUCAUGAUCUUACCUUAUGUUCCUUAUGCUGUAUGAAUUAAAGAAAUAAACAUGUAAGCCCUAUGCUGUAUGAAUUAAAUAAAUAAAUAUGUAAGCACACAUAACAUUAUUAUGACUUAUGUAAUUUUUAGUCAACAUCGUAUAAGUUAUAAAUAAUAAAAUCUCAUAACUGUAUGGCUCCAUAAGGUUAUAGUGAAACCUAAGUGAUAAGAAGAACUGUAUGAAACUGGAUGAAUACUGUAUGGCUGGGCUGCUAUGGCCCAUAUAUAAUCAUAUCCACUCAACGGCCUGUAGCCGGAGUAACAAACUGUAUGGGGCGCAGAUAUGCUAUUCUAUGUCGCGAUAUAGCCUUAUCUACAUGGUUUCUACUUAACCUCAAUGGAGCAUAUUAUCUGUAUGUCAUUAAUACAAUCAACAUAUUAACUUAUUCAUGAAAUGCAUAAACCAUACUGUUUAUCUGUAUGCUGUCUCAUUAUGUAUGUUGCUAACCUGUUUCAUGCUUUCAUGCUUUAAAAAGGAUGUCCUAGACAAUUAUCAGUAAUAUCUAAUGAGUAAUAAUGCAAACAAUUAAUCACUUGUAAAGGAACUUGCAUGGAAAUAAUUUGACUGUUGCACCCGCGACACAACUCUUACUAAUCUUUAUGUAACUUAAUUUAUACCAAUCAAAUUAACAAAAUUCUUGAUUUUAAUAUAAGUUAACUCAGAAGGUUAAAUUCAGUAAAUAUCUUAGGCUGAAUGAAUCUACAUAUGCAUCCCAACAUCAUGUCUAAUGUAGCCUUGAAAUCUGCUAAGGCUGCCUGUACAUGUUUUACAAAUACUAGCAUAACUCUGUCUUCAUAAGUCCAAUUUAGGUAAUUCAAAAUUCUAUGGUGAGCUAACACAUUAGGGUACAAAUAUGUCUUCUAGCAUAUCUCUUAAUUAUGUUAGUAACGUAGUCAAAUAUUGAGCUAAAGUAACAACUUCCAGUCUGCCCAGCUUUUGGUUUCCAGCCUGCACAGUUUAUACCAUUUUGGACAUAUCUUUUAAUUUAUAAGUCCAAUUUAGAUGAUUUCCAAGCUUAUGGAUAGCUAAAACAUAAAGGAACAAAUAACUCUUAUACCACUUCCUAAUUCCAUCGUUUUCGUUUCUCAAACCUAUGAUUCAAGACAUAGAAAAUAUUCAGCAUUAAAUAAACUUUGACCUUUGCUGAGUGUUUAAGACAUAUAAAUUGAGUUAUAGGGCUUUAAAUUAAAUGAAAUUAGAUUAAUUAGAAAGCUAAGACAAAUUUAUACAAAUUUUAUAAAGGGAUCACAACCCAGAUCAAUGUGUAAGAUGGUGAACAAAGACUAGGAACACAGACCAACAGUCUAGACCUGAUUCAGCAGAACCAAGUCAACUGUUUGUUGUAUUUCUACUUAUCCAAACACUAAAACUAAACCAAUCCAAAACCAGAGAAGUCUAAAGACAUAGGGUAACAACUCUCAUGAAGACCUUAGAACAUAUUCUUGCCAUUAUAGUUGUCAAAAUGGGCACUCAAGUCAGUGAUGCAUGUGGCCCGUCAUAACAGAGUCAGUUUGGGUGUUUUAGCCAUAAGUGGAGCUAUAUAUAUCCAAAUUGAACAUAAGAGGAUGGGUUGGAAAGCUAAGAAGUAGACCUACAACUUUCAUGAAGAACUCAGAUACAACUGGAAAAUAAAAAGGAUCGAUACAUAGUCUUUAAUGCCACCUAAUAACACUUUUUCCCAAUUUCAGCUUACUUAAAUCAUAUACAAGGUAAAGAUUUCUUCCACAUACUAAAUACUCAUCAAAUAUCAUCUUAAGAGCAUAAAUCAACAAAGGAUAACAAGAAAACUUAAGGCCUUAUUCAUCAAUAGGUUCUGCCGCUCUUGGAAGAUGAAGAAGAAAAUGUUUUCCUCAUCAAUUCAACAUAUAGGCAUGCUUAGAAAUCUCUCAAGAACACAUUUAUACCACCAAAAUUGAAUAAUCAAAUCAUUUCAUAUAAAAUUCCCAAUUUUCACAAAAUAGUAUCAACUUCACAAAAUUAAAAAUUUAAACAAGGUAAGAGUGUUUAUGAACACUUACCUCAAAAUCAAGCUUGGAACACCCCAAAAGUCACCAAAUCAAACUUGAGUCUUGCAUUUAGCCACCUUAGAUAGCUCACCUUUUAAUUACCCUUAAAAAUUCUGCACAUCUUUAAGCUCCAAUUCAAUAAUAACCUUGAAUCUUCAAGAGGAAGGUCUUGGUUGGAGUUCAUAUGGUCUAGUUAGAGUGAUUUUUUUGUGAGAAAUUGAAAACAAUAAGGAAGAGAAGGAGAGCAUAUGGUUCGGCCAAGGAAGAGAAGAAAGAAAGAAAUGGUUGCUCAAAUCAUUCACGUUGAAGAUAAAAAGAUGAAGAGAAAAUGGUUGCUCAAAUCAUUGAGCACAAGGGUAUUUUAGUCUUUUCUCAACAUAAUUGGAUGGCUACGAUUAAGUCAAUGGUAAUCUAAUCCAAUGGCUAAAAAUAUUCUCCAAUUUAUUUCCUUCAAAAUAUUAUUUCUCUCCACAAAAUUCUUAAAUUUAAUCCUUAAAAAUAAGUUCUCUUAUUCCCUUACUUAAUAUAACACCAUCUCUAUUUACUUCAUAAAAAUAUUGCAUCUAAGUUCCUUAAUUAAUAUAACACUAUAAUUAACUAUUCACUAAUUAUCUAACUUCUCCAAAAAUAUUCAUUACUUACUUUCUACCCAUAAAAAUAAUGUAUACAUACUCCAAAAAUAUUAAAGACAAUAUUAAACAUACAUAGUAAUUUUUUUCGGACCAAAAUAAUAUCGAUUUCCGGACUGGUGGCACUAUUCACACACUGGUAAACUUACUAUUUCAGACAAAGAAAAAUGGGGCGUUACACUCAAUUUUUCGAUUUUCUGUAUAAUCACUUUAUGUUACUUUUAUAUGCUGCGCGCAAUGACGAAGUCAGGAUUAUAAUACAAAUAAUGUAUAAUAGAUGAUUUAUCAUUUAAUAAAUUAUAUACUACACUUCUCUAUUUAAAAAAUUAUACAAAUAUUAUGAGGAAUGAAAAGUUUAAUCAAUAUAAAUAACAUCUUUUUCCUCUUCAAACAAACUCAAAAUUUAUUGAAUAACAAUUUCAUAAUAAAAGGUUCUUUCGCUCCAUAAAAAAUCAUUCUUUUGAUUUCAUAGUUAAAAACAUAUUUGGAUUGUUUAUGAAAGAAAUGAUAAGAUGAAUCUUAUUUUUAUAACAAUGUAACCAAAUUUAAACAAUUUAAAUGUUAAUAAUAUACAUUAAUUUAUUUAUAUAAUACGAUAAUAACAAAUGCAGAUUGUUCAAAUAAUAACUUGUUAACAAAAAAAAGUGCAUUUAUUAGAGGGCUUAACUCGUGUAGGAAUAAUUCCUCUUAACACCCUCUAAUAAAAUCCCACAUUUUAGGAGGAACUUCCAAAUGCCAUAUCUUUCCUAAUGAUCCCCCUGUAAACGUUCCCCCCCUCUCCCUAGCCAUUUCAACGCUACAUAGUAACUCGAUCUAACCCGAUACUCUCCCCUCCUAUCAAAGUGCCAAAUCAACUUAUCUUCUAGAUUAUUCACACCCAAAGGAAUAUUAAGAAUUGUCCUAAUGUCUCUUGCACUAAAUAACUCCACAAUUUCAUCAAAAUCCCAACCUCUCCUAUCAUUCGUUAUAAGAUCACACACUCUCAUAUCAAGUUCUAAAAAAUGAAUGACAUCCUCCACAUAAAAAGUAUCACUCUUGGGAAGUCAAGGAUCCUGUGUGACCAAAAUAUUCUCACCAUUCCCCACUCUCCACGUAACCCCUAACUUUAGCAUGUCCCUGACAAACAAGAUACUCCUCCAAGUAAAACUGAGAUUAUUCCCUAGUGAUGCAGAUAGAAAUCACCAUCCGGAAAAUAUUUAGCUUUGAGCGUACAAUAAAGAAGAGUAUUGGGUUCGGAUAAUAGUCUUCACCCUUACUUACCAAGCAUAGCAAUAUUAAAGCUAUACAAAUCUCUAAAACCCAUUCCCCCAUCCUUCUUGCUUUGACACAUCCUAUCGCAAGAAUACCAAUGGAUACCUUUAUUAUUCCCCCCUUUAGAACCCCACCAAUAAGAAUUCACAAUUUUUUGAAGAUCAUCACACAACGAUAAGGGAAGUAAGAACAUACUCAUACAAUAAGAUGGACAAGCUUGUGUGACAGACUUAAGUAAAAUCUCCCUACCUACUUUAGACAAGAGCUUAUUAGUCCAACAGUUAAUUCUACUCAAUAACUUGUCCUUUGAAAAAUUACAAAUAUGUUUCUUCCUUUUACUAAUUAGAGAAGGUAACCCCAAAUAUUUCUCCUCUCCUAAAGAAUUAUGAACUUCUAGGAUAUUGGACACAGACACUUUAACCAUACAUGAAACAUUAGGAUUAAACAUGAUCCUUGACUUCCUAAAAUUAACGGCUUGACCCGAAGCACUGUCAUAUUCAUCUAAAAUCUGCUUUACUCACCUACCCUCACUGUCUGAGGCCUUAAAAAAGAAAAACAAGUCAUCUACAAAUAAUAAAUGUGCCACCCUUGGACAUCUAACUCCAGCUCGACACCCAUGGAUCCAUCCUCUCUACUCAGCCUCCUUAAACAACGGGGAUAAACCUUCAGAACAAAUAAUAAAAAGGUAUGGUGAAAUAGGAUCUCCUUGUCUAAGACCCCUCUCUGGAAUAACAGGACCAACUACUUCCCCAUUACACAAGUAAGAGUACCACACAUUAGUCACACAUGCUGUCAUCCAAUCAAUCCAUUUGGUACUAAAACCCAAUCUACCCAUCAUAUCUUGCAGGAAAUUCCAAUUGACCCUAUCAUAGGCUUUAGUUAUAUCUAUUUUAAGAGUUGCCAUACCCGUACCUCCCCACGUUUCAUACUGUGAAGAAUUUCAAAGGCCACACCAAUAUUAUCCUGUAUUACUCUACCCAGCACAAAAGUAUAUUGGCUAUUCGAAAUAGUCAAUCUGAAGCAGAGCAAAUUUAGCAUUUAGUUUAUUGAAGAAGAAAAGGAAAAAUUAUAAAUAUUAAUCACGUGUAGAAUAGUUGUUUAAUCUAUCAAAAAGGAAAAAGAAAAACUAUUAAAAUAAAAAAUAUGUAGAAAAAAAAGAAAAAAAGAAACACUAUAAAAAUGGAUUAAAAAGAAAAUUUUAAAAUUAAUGGUAUAUAAAUUGGUCUUUUAAUUAACCAACAAGAAAAGCUAUUAAAAUAAAAAAUUAUGUAAAUAAAAUUUAAAAAGAAAAAGAAAAACUAUGAAAAAGGGAAAAGGAAAAGUAUAAAAUAACAGGGAGCAAAGAAAAAAAAUUAAUAAAAUUAUAUAUAAAUGGAAAAACAAAAAGUAUAAAAAGGGGAAAAAGCAGAAAUUGGAAAACUAAAAUAAUAAAAACCAGAAAAAAGAUCACAAUAAGUAGUUUCAAACAUUGGCUGACAAUAUAAACUCACAACAUUUUAGCCACUAUACCAAACUACACUACAUUUCCUUUCUACCACUAAAUUAUUUUAUAAAACAAUCCAGGGGCAUGGCCCCCUCCUCCCCUUCUCUCCACUCCCUCUGCUAUUGGUUGGGCAUAACUAUUUUGAAACUUAUAUAUAUUAGCACCACAAAUAUAAACAAAUAUUUAAAAUAAAAGAAAAAUGAUAUAAAACACAAGACAAGCCAAGAAUACUCUCAAGGAGAUCUCAAUUAAUAAAAAUUCAUUUUUAUUAAAUCUCAUAAAAUUAAAAAAUAUAUUGAAACAAACAAAUAAAAUUACAAUCUUGAUAUAGAUAUAGAAGAGUUUGUGAUAAAAUUAGAGGGCUUAGAGAAACUAAAUCCGUUGAUGAUGCAUAGAAGCUUCGAUGAAUAUGAAUUCAUUUAGGAUCUAUGGCAAGGUCAUGAUUCAAAGAUGGAUUGGAGAAAGAGGAAGAGAUGCCAAGGUUAAAGAGAGAGAAAGUGACUGAAUAAAUUGUGGACUUCAAAAACUGGCAUUUAAUGGUUGUGGGUUAAGCUUACCAAAGAUUAAGGCCUCGUUUGGUUCAAAUUCAUCUACUUUCCGAGGAGUUCACUUCCUAGAAAAUAAAGUUUCAAAGAAGUUACUUCUUGAAAAGUACAGUGUGAAUAUGUUUUGUUGAUAUAUUGAAUUCCCAAGAAAUAAAAUUGUGUUAAUGAAAUUUUACAUAUGAAAGGACAAUAAUACUCCUACCAUGAAUUUAAAUAUAAUAAUUGAAAUAAUUCAUUGAAAGCGCAAAAUGGAGAUUGUUAAAUUCUAAAGGUCAAGAAGUGUACUUCCUUAGGUUGAGGAGAGGAAGUAACUUCCUGUACGGACAAGAAGUUGAGCAAUUCAACUUUUCGAGAAGUUCUUUAUUUUUGGAAACCAAACAUAAUCAAAUGCAUCACUUUUCAGGAAGUUUAAGUUCCUGAUGUAACACCCUAUGCGAAUCUCACAUCGGCUAAACACAAGGUGUAAAUGAAACCCAUAAGAAUGGGCAAGUUUUAAACUAGCAAGAAGCCAUAAGGCAUGAGUUGGUUCGGCCAGAGUAAAUAGUAUCUUGCAAUGUUUAAGAUGGAUGUGAGUUGGUUUUAUCUUGGCAACUUGUAAAGAGGUUUUUUUGGCUAUUGUUGGUUGUAGCUCAAGAACAAACCCGUGCGGGCCUGAGUAAGUUCGGUCCAAAGCGGACUGUAUCUUGCUAGCUCAAACUUAUUCUAAAGCCUAGUCUUAACUCCAUAUUGGAGUGUUAAAUGCUAUAAUAUCUAAGUUUUAAAAUAGGAGUGCUUGGGAUACAUAAGUGCUAUAAUACCUAAGUUUUAAAAUGAGAGUGCUCGGGAUACAUAAGUAAAAAUAGAGUGAUUUCGCGAUAAGUUAAAAAAUUGAGAGUAUUUUGAUAGGUUUGUCCAUAUUUGAAGAUAAACUCAAAGUAGUAAUGUUUCUUUGAGAUUUUAUCAAUAUACAUUUCAUCUUUCUUCACAUUUCAAAUUUAAACAUUUUUCUCUUUAUUGUGUGGUCCAUUAAUAUUAUCAUUUUAUGGAGUAGCCAAUUCCCUUAACAAGAGGGCAACUAUUAAGGAUAGGCGAAUGAUAAGUUUCAAGAUUAUCAUUUUCCCCCCUAUCAGCAUAGAGUACUGUGUUUAUAAAGAUAAAACUUGCAUACGUCUGGUGUAUAGAUGGUCUUAUAUAUCAAACCAAUCAAAAAGUAGCAUUUUAAAAAAAUAUUACCGUUAUAUAUUUUUUUCCUGUACAUGAUCGUAAAUGGUUAAAUACUCUUAUUUUGAAUUAAAAUUCUAUAUGUGAUUAAUUUGAUGUACAAGUAAAUCUAUAUACUCGAUGUAGGUAAUUCUUUUCCGUAUUUAUAAAUUACCAUUGCAACAAUAUUUAUAGAUAAGUUUUCAUAUCCAUCAAUAUACUCACCUUUAUGUCCACCGCCUGCAUUACUCGUAUGUCAAUACAUUUUUUAAAAGAGUAGGCUUUUGCGGGGCUUCCCUUGUUAUUGAUUAAAUUUCACAUGAAAAGAAAUUAAAAAUUAAUAAAUAAUCUUUAUGUCUCACAUUAUAAAUCGUUUAAUAUUUUUACACGAAAAUUAAAAAACUAUGAGUAACUUUAUUCUAUCUAAUGUAAAUAAGAGUGAUAUUAAAAAAUUAUCAUUUAUUAUUCUUUAAAAUACUUAAAACGAUUUAUAUUUUGGGAUAUAAUGAUCACUCAAAAUGAUUUAUAUUUUGAAAUGGAGAGAGUAGUUAGUACUAGAAAUCAUUUUACCAAUCAAACCAUCAGCAUCAAACCUUUUAGUGUUUUGUUAAAUCAAAUGUAGUAAGGAAAAAAAAUAAUACGAUAACUUUAUUUGGUUCAAAUACUUGCCUUUUCUUGUUACAUUAUAUUGAAUGAACUUUAAGCAGAUAUAUGAAUAAUACAGGUAUUUGGCUUUCCAAUUCGUUGCUCUUUUCCUGAAAGAAGCCAAUUCUAAUUAAGGGUUGAUGGAAAUCCAAUUUUUUUGCCAUUUUAAAAUGAAAAAAAAAAUAAAACUAAAAAUUUUACAAAAUUUACAUAUAUUUUUAAAAUUUAUAAAUUUAUAAUUUUUGUAAAAAGUACAAUUUUAAAUUGAAAUAACAAAAUGAAAUUUAGUGGUUCUCUUUCUCUCCUGCAUGAUAAAAUGAUAUUGUUUUUUUUUUUUUUUUUUAAAAAAAAAAAAGAAAGUGAAUGCUAAAUUUAAGGCGGAACACAAAUAGAUGAUUCCAAAAGACACAAACACACUACCACUAUCUUUUCCGUGACCAAUAACAGACAGUCACGUAUUCAUGUGCCAAUCAGACGUAUGUCCUAAUCCAUCUUCUUCGCCUAUUUAAAGACAAAGGUCCUCUGUGUUCUGUGUUUAAAGAUGUCCCUUCGCUAAAUCAAAAGGCCGAGAUUUCGGCUCUAUAAAACUCGGAUAUUUCGCGACAUUUCGUUUCCUACGGUGUAAUGGCAAUGGCUGGCUAUGGGCUAUUGAAGAUCGAUGAAGGAGAGCUAAAGAGCAAUCGAAGAACAUCGCGUCUCGCUUCUCUUGAUGUCUUUCGCGGCAUCUCCAUUCUUGUGAGCUUUCUUUAGCUUUUCUUGUUUUCUUUUAAUUUAUGCCACGUUUUUGAUUGGUUGCUGAGAAAAUGCCAGAAAAUGAACCGCCGCAUGAAAAUAAUUCAAUGGAAAUUAAGCCAAAAAAAAAAAAAAAAAAGCUUCAUUUUCAGGUUUUAUUUCUCUUUGGCCUCUGUUUCCAUAUUUUUGUUAAUUUUAUGUUUUUGUUUUUUCUUUUAUUUAAAUAUUUUAAACAAACAUACAAAAAAGAACAGAGUUCAUCAUAUGAAAAAAAAAAAAAAAAUCUCAUUGAGUAUAAAUUUUUUUAAAAUAAUUUAAUAAUAUUUAUAUGAUGAGAUCCACUCCACCCUAUAUGAAAAUAAUCCACAUCAAUCUGAUCUGAAUAUGAAUUACUGGGUAUAAAAAUCAUAAAAUUUGAUUUUUAUUAUUUUUUUAUAAUAUUUUUGAAUAUAUAAUUUUUUACAAUUGUAUAAUAAUUAUAAAAACUAAAACAAUAAAUAUAUCCUAAAUUAAUUUAUUAGCGCUGUCCAACCACUUUUCAAAAUAGACUGAGUGCAGGAAUGUCCAACCGAAGCUUACCUUUCGUCCAAUCAACUUGUUAGUGGAUGAGAAAAGCAAACAUACGUUGCGUGCGUGCAUUUCGUAUAAUGCGCAAUGCAUAGCAUAAUUCGUUUGCUCUUUACGCAAUCUUUCUGACGUCAAAGUAACCUUCAGUUUUUGCAAACUGUCCGAAAAAAGCAUAGAAAUGCUCAUGGAAAAAAAUAUUUAUAUAUCUCCUUUCAAAUUGAAGACUUUUAAAAAAAUUCCAUAAAAUUUUGAUAAAUACUAUGAAUUUUAAUAUUCUCAAUCUGAAACUUUUUAUAAAAAAAAGAGAGAGAAAAAUUUGAAAUGACUUUCUGCUUUUCAAAAAUAUUCUGAUGUAUAUAAAUAUUUUGUUUUAUUAUUCAAACGAUAAUCUAUAUUUAAAUACAGCAAAUGAUUUCAGUAAAUUUAAAAUUUAAUCUAUAGAAGAACAUUUAUAAAAAAGAAAAAAAAGAAAAGUACAGGUUUUCAAAUGGCCCAACUCACACAUUAAUGGACUAAAUUUGAGAAACUGCACUUUGUACUUCAUAAUUUAUUUAUAGGCCCACCAACAGACCCCCAUACUUUAAUGCACACGUACGGUCUUAAUUGUUUCUCGGAAGUUACUUCAAUUAAUGAAUCGAAUAACAAUUCAAUAAAAUAUAAAAUAAUAUUAUUAUUAUGAAUAACAAGUCAAUAAAAAUAAGACACUUGUCAAAAGUGAUAUAUAAAUAAGAUUUAAUUAAUUCAUUAUUUCCAUCUCUAUUUCAUUUUAUUUUCAGUUUGCAUUAUUAUAUAUGAUAAGUGUCUUAUUUUUUAAAAAUUGUCGUUCCAACAUAUAAUGGUGACAUGGCAUCGGUGUUUUAUUAUAUAAUCAUUCAGAUCAUCAUCCUUAAAUUAUUUGAUCAUUUCAUAAAAAUUAUUAUUUUAUUAAUCAGUAAGUAUUAAUAAAAAGGUAAAAAUAUCCCUUAUUUUUUUAAAACAAUAUCCUUUAAAAUACUAUCUAAUCAUUCAUAUUUAAUAAUGUGAUCAUAUUAAUUUAACAAUAAAGGCAUGCGUUUUGGAUUGAGUUGUGGUUGAUUUAGUGAAUUUUUAAUUUAGGAACCAACCAAAGAAAGAGUUUAAUAAUUAAGAGAAAUUUCAAUCAUUAAAUAACAGUUCUCUAAGAAAAGUAUUCAUCUUAGUUGGUUUUUAGGAGUGUCAAAAUGGGUUUGCAGAUAGAUUUCGACAUAAACUCAUCUACCAUGCGACAUGAUUAGAAUCAACAUAAACACGAUCUGUUUAAUAAUUAUGCAAAAUUUUUAAAUAUAAACACAAAAUGCAAAUUAAAUGAAUGACACGAAUAUGACAUUUAUAAUCUGUUUAAUUAAAUAGAUCAUAUAUGAAUCCAAAAAUUCAACCAAACUUAAUUAAAUGAGUCAAAUACGGGUUAGAACAUAACACGUAUGCAUAUACAAUAUACUUAAUAUAUAUAUUAUAUAUAUUUUAAAUGGAUUAUACAUAUCGUGUUAUCACUCGUAUACGAGUGACUCAUAUAUAUAUAUAUUUGAGUCACUCGUAUACGGGUGAUAACACGAUAUGUAUAAUUCACUUAAAAUAUAUAUAAAUCACUUAUAUACAGAUCAAAACAUGACAUGUAUACAUGUAUAAUUCACUUAAUAUAUAUAUUUAUCGUAUUAUAUAUAAAUCACUAGUGUAUGCACGAAUUUAUUUGGGCUCAACUUUAUCGUGAUUAAUUUCUCUGUUAGGCAAAUCUAAUUUAUGCGUGUGAUAGCUGAUUUUAACAUCUCUACUUUUUAGAUUGCUUCAAUCAAUCAAAACCACAUAAUAUUUCCGUUUGAUUUUAUCGGAAGCAGGUUGGCAAGUGGACCCACAUAAUGUGUGGUGGUGGUCCAUAUGCUCUAAACGCUGGAUGGGACUUGGCUAUAACUGGUGUUAAUUUCUUGAUAUCUUUAAAAAAGAUUCCACGAUUGUUCUUAUACCCAGUGGCAAACAACAGUUACAUUACUCCUGCUGAACCCAAAACCUUACUACACUUCGUAUCUUACUAAAACAAAUUCUCUUUUGACCGCUUUAAAACGGACAGCACGCUCAGUACACACAGUCAAAAGGGCUACCCGCCACCCAGCCCUUUCCUUCCUUCGUCUUCUUCUCUGCAAAAGAAAAAACGCCAAACUUAUAAUAAUCAAAGCUACAAUAUUAAUCUUCCCUUAUACUUAUUCUCUUUCUUUCUUGUUUCUCAUUCUUUUCUCUCUCCUUAUAAAAUGGCUGACUUAGAAGUGCCUUUGCUGCUGCUGCAAUCGCCGCUCUCCGAUAACAAGCCCACGCGUGUUGCUUCUCUCGACGUCUUUCGCGGCCUCUGCGUCUUUGUAACUCUCCCUACUUACCUUUCGCUUUCUCGUCUUCGUUCUUCAGAUUCUCGUCCGAAUUACGUUUUACGGUUUCUUCUUCCUCAAUUUUCAACGUUUUUAUUAUUAUUAUAAGCAUUAUUUUAGUGCCUGAGCUGUUUGGUUUAAAUUUUAGGACUGUUUGGUUUAAAUUUUAGGAAAGAAAAGUUAGUUUUAACAAAAUUUCUAGCGUAACUUGUUUGUCUCAGAACCGAAAAAGUUGUUUAUGUUUGUUAUCAAUUUGGUGGCUACAGCUAAUGAUGAUUGUGGAUUAUCUGGGAUCGAUUUUUCCGAUCAUUGCUCAUUCUCCAUGGAAUGGCCUUCGCUUGGCGGAUUUUGUGAUGCCUUUCUUUCUUUUCAUAGCCGGAGUUUCUCUUGCACUUGUUUAUAAGGUAAGUAUACUACUAUAAUUAUUAUUACUUCAAAAGAAAUGCAUGUUUGCUUUAAUUAGGGAUUUUUAUAUUCUAAUUCUGUUUUAUGAAUAGAAAAUUGUUGAUUUUGACAAUUCAACGCAUUUUGUUAAUUAUCACUUCUGAUUCACUUGCUAAUUUUAUUUGGUUAAUAUUGGCUUUUAAUCUGAAAGUUCUGUUUUUAUCAGAAAGUAUCAGACAGAGUAGAUGCUACAUGGAAGGCAGUACUUAAGGCAGCAAAAUUGUUUUUCUUGGGUGUUUUUCUUCAAGGUGACACUGUCAGACAAUUGAAUUAUUGUUGUGGAUUUUAUAGCAGUAUAUAUCUAUAAUACUAUCGGGACAUACAUUUAAUUAGCAUACAUUUGUUAAAUUGUUCAUUUUUUUUCAGGUGGUUAUUUUCAUGGGAUAAAUUCAUUGGCUUAUGGUGUUGACAUCGAAAGAAUACGUUGGCUUGGCAUUCUGCAGGUACUCAAAAAUUUCUUUCUCCAUGUAUUAAUAUUUCCUUCCUCAAUACCCUUAUGCCAUGUUCGGAAAAUUAACUGUUUAUCUAUCCUAAUAGCUAUACUAAAGUAAUAUUGUUUCAUAAUACAUUCACUCAAACUCUAAGGUCAUCGAAUAGUAUUUCAAUAUUUAUUAAAACGCUAAAAGCUACAUAAAAAGUUAUCGUUGAACGGCCCUUACACCACAUGUCUAAAUUUUCACGAGUACAGAUUAAGUGAUUGUCAUUAAAGUAGGAUUAAAAGUUUCCUUCUUAAUUACAUAAACCGUAGUCCAGUGUCAUUGUUCAUUUACGUUAGUCCUAUACAUUGUUAAACUUGUUUUUGUUGUCAUUCAAGCCAGAGAAUAUCUAUUGGCUACAUUGUUGCGGCUUUAUGUGAGAUUUGGCUUUCAUCUCGACCGAUAAGAGAAAUAGGUUUCUUCAAGCCUUAUUAUUGGCAUUGGUAAGGUUUUGAUAUCUUGCAUUGGCCUUUAUAUUAUUAAACUUCAAGCAUAAUUGACAUCGUAAAAGUGUUAUGUUUAACAAUUGUAAUGUGACUUCAAUUCUUGAUUCUAUUUCACGAAAUGGCUUAAGUAACAAUACUCAUUUAUUUUCCCUCUCUCACUUGGGCCUAAUAAGCAGGAUUUUUAAUAAAUAUUUGCCUGAUUAACACACCAUUAACUCAGAUCCUUGAACAUGUAAUACAUAGAUCAACAUUCAAUUGAUAUCUUAAAAUACUAAUCAGAUGGUGAGUAUGAGCUUAAUGGAUUGAAUUGCAAUUUUUUUUUUUUUUUAAUUUUUUGGCUUUCUUUUCUCAAUUUAUUGAUGAAGCAAAAUUUUCAGGGUUUUGGCAUUUUCAUUGUGUGCAAUUUAUACGGGAUUAUUACACGGUCUCUACGUUCCAGAUUGGCAAUUUGAAAUCUCCAAUUCAACUUCUUCUGUUCUUCCAAACAAUGGCAGUUAUGUUUACUUGGUGAGAGUUUACUGAAACCUUUUUCUUUUGCUAUUAUUAUUAUUUUUUUUUUUUUUAUGCCUGUGAUUGUGUGCAUGUAUGUGAGGGUGCAUAUAGAAAUUAAAUUCAUGGAGAACAGAACCACUAGAGAAUGCUUGUCAUUAUCUAAAUUUUGUUUGCUACAAUUUUGACCAUGUUAUGAGCGCCUUGAAGCAUUUAUCUCUGGAACUAGAACUUCUAAUGUAGAUUUCUACUAGAAUUCGUCACCUUUCUAUGAAGAGCAAGUUAAUUUGCCAACACCAUAUUAUUUCAUCGUCCAAAUACUCGACUAAAACAUCAUUAGAGGAGAGAUGUGUUUUUGAAGUACAUUUUACAUACGUAAGUCAAUACAGUCAUUGCGCAUGCAUUUUCUGCUAGUAUUAUCCUUUCAAAAUGAAGUUAAAAUUUUUAUUGCUUGACGUUUGAAGUCAUGAAUUUGAAUACAUUCUUCAUAUUUUUCACAGGUGAGCUGCUCUGUAAGAGGCGAUCUUGGACCUGCUUGUAAUUCAGCUGGAAUGAUCGAUCGCUAUGUUCUUGGUAUUGAUCAUCUCUAUACAAAACCCGUCUAUAGAAAUCUGAAGGUAUUCUAUAUUGAUCUUUUUAUGGUGGUCUUUAUCCAUCCAUAUGCAAUGUAUUGAUCCCUAACAAAAAUCUCAACUUAUAGGAAUGCAAUAUGACAAAUGGCCAAGUUUCAGAGAAUUCACCUUCAUGGUGUCAUGCUCCUUAUGAUCCUGAAGGUCUAAUAAGGUAGUUGAAAUGCAUAUCAAUAAGCUACUUAUUCAAUUAAGUUGAUCAAUAGAAUCAUGAAGAGGCAAGUGACCUGUUUUUUUUCUGUUGAAUGGUAGUUGGCAAACGUUUUUUGAAGUUCAACAAGCCAAGUGGAAGAUUUAGGAGAGUCAAAGUUGAGAUAUUAUCGAAUAAUAUAUAAUAUGAAUCAAACGUACAUAGACAGAUUAUCAAAAUCGAAGUCUAGAAAGUAGGAGGAUGUCAAAAGAUGAUAAUUUUCUACUAAACAUAAUUACACAUCAAUAUGAGUCGCAUACUAUUCAGUCUUAUUUUUGACAAUUAGGUAACGCGCUAAAAUUUAUUGUGCCUACAGUUCCUUGACGGCUGCAGUUACCUGCAUUAUUGGACUUCAAUUCGGCCAUGUCCUUGCUCACGUAAAGGUGAUAUCAUAUGCAUUCUUUACUCUCCCCGUGAAUUUUCUUUUCUUAUCUUUUUCACCUGUAGUUAUUUAUGGUCACUGUCGUAUAGGAGAUUUAUAAUGAUGUGCAAAAGCAUUCUGCUUUGAGCUACAUGCUACUGCUAUUUCACGUACUAUAGAACAAUCACCAUUUUGGUAAUUGCUUGUCAAGCUUAUUGACGUUACUUGUUACACAUGCUUUUCAGGACCACAAAGGGCGGGUGGAAUGUUGGUCUUUCUUCUCAUUUUCACUUCUUCUACUUGGAUCAUCCCUCGCCUUCGUAGGUAUGCUCGUCAACAGCGCAUAACUUUUGCCUUCAAUAAGUACCUAUCGACACAUUUUUGUUAUGAAGAUAGAUAACACUUGUUGCUAUAGAAAACAUUCCAUCCUCAAAAGUAAAGCAAGGUGCUCUACUAAUAAGAACAAAUUGAUCUCCCCCAAUUUGUUCAUUUUAGCAAUCAAUUUUAGGUUCUUAGUAAAUACAUAUUGAAAGCAAAUCUUUGAUCUUCCCCUUUUGUUUUGCAGGCAUCCCCGUGAAUAAAUCUCUCUAUACAAUUAGUUAUAUGCUUAUUACUUCUGCUUUGGCAGGAAUCACAUUCUCAGUUUUGUACUUGGUGGUGAGUCAAUUCUACCUACUAUUGGAAGCAAAGCAUAAUCUUUAGCAGCUUCUUAGAUUUUCCAAGAAAUAUAUACUUGUCAGAUUUGACUUAAAAAUCUAAUUUGGUUGCUCUUGCAAAGAAGCCAACUGAAGCAUAAACCACGAGACCAUGAAAACCCUACUCUAUACUUACUGAAAAUUGAAGCAAAAGAUUAUUUUCAUCUUUCUUAACUCUGAAUCAUCACAACUUAAAAUCCCUCAAACCAAAUAUACUCCUCGUUCCUACUAUUUGACAUUUUUAUCUCUUUUUCUUACUGUUUAUAUACUGCCUGCUGUAGGUAGAUGUAUAUGGUUACAGAUGGGUGUCAUUACCGUUGGAGUGGAUGGGAAGGCAUUCCUUGAGUAUCUUUGUCCUUCUAACAUCUAACUUAAUUAUUAUUGCAAUUCAAGGAUUCUACUGGUCUAAGCCUGAAAACAACAUAGUGAGUGUUUAGAAGAUCUACUGCUUUUUAUUCACUUGCUACUAAUAUGUAAAUCCAAAGACAGCUAACACCACAUUUUUUUUCUUGUUGCCUCACUUUUUUAACAGAUUCACCAGAUUGUCGCAUCCUUCGUGCACAGAUGAUACAUAUGGUCAUUGGGUCGAAUUACAUGGUUAGAGAUUUUGAAUCUUGCUUUUAAGAUAGGGUAAAACACUGAAUUCUCUAGCCAAUCUCUCUUUUCAGACCACAUUUUAUAAUAGUGUUUUGGGAAAUCAAGGACAUAUUAUUAGUACCUAGUGAAUCUUUUUACUUUUCCCCCUCUAUAUACAAAAUGAAAGUGAUAUAUAUAAAAAUGUAUAAGCUUUAGACUAGCAAGAGCCAUUGACUGAGUACGAGGGAAAGUGAUAUUUAUAAAAAUGGGUAAGCCCUUAGACCAGCAAAGAGGUCUUUUGAGGGUGAUGGAUCAUCCAUUACCCUCGAGAACAAAACUGUGCAGACUGGAUCCAAAGCGGACAAUAUCUUGCUAGGCCUAAAAUGCCAUAUAUAAUGAGUAAAAUCACUUAACUUCUAAUAAAAUGAUUAAAUAGUUGAUGUUUUCAUACUAUAGAAACUAAAUAAUUUCUUCCAAAAAUAGAAUAACUUACGGGAUAAUGGUAAUAUUUACCCCUCUACUUACCUCUACUUACGGGAUAAUGGUAAUAUUCAGGUUUACAGAUUCAAGUGGCAGGACAAAUUCAAGCUUGAGUUAAUGUUCAAAUUAACACUCUCCUGAGGCCACUAAGAGGUUCAGCGAACACAAGGUCGCGAAGCAAUCCAAAUUCCGCAAUUGUCCAGUGUUUUUGCAUGAAAUGCGGCUCUCAGCUGUCAAGGCUUGUGCCUUGUUCUUGACAAGAGUUAUAACAUGCUCUAGACAAUAUUGUAGUCUUAUUCAAUUUUAAAUCAAUCAAGGGAAGCAAUGAAACAAUUUUAUGCAAAUUAUAUUACACUUUCCAAUUUAUGACUUGGUCUGAGGCAGAUAUUGAAUCAUGCCAAUAAAAAAAAAAUUUAAAAAAAAAAAAAAAAAAAAAAAAAAAAAAAAAAAAAAUACUGCCUGCUGUAGGUAGAUGUAUAUGGUUACAGAUGGGUGUCAUUACCGUUGGAGUGGAUGGGAAGGCAUUCCUUGAGUAUCUUUGUCCUUCUAACAUCUAACUUAAUUAUUAUUGCAAUUCAAGGAUUCUACUGGUCUAAGCCUGAAAACAACAUAGUGAGUGUUUAGAAGAUCUACUGCUUUUUAUUCACUUGCUACUAAUAUGUAAAUCCAAAGACAGCUAACACCACAUUUUUUUUCUUGUUGCCUCACUUUUUUAACAGAUUCACCAGAUUGUCGCAUCCUUCGUGCACAGAUGAUACAUAUGGUCAUUGGGUCGAAUUACAUGGUUAGAGAUUUUGAAUCUUGCUUUUAAGAUAGGGUAAAACACUGAAUUCUCUAGCCAAUCUCUCUUUUCAGACCACAUUUUAUAAUAGUGUUUUGGGAAAUCAAGGACAUAUUAUUAGUACCUAGUGAAUCUUUUUACUUUUCCCCCUCUAUAUACAAAAUGAAAGUGAUAUAUAUAAAAAUGUAUAAGCUUUAGACUAGCAAGAGCCAUUGACUGAGUACGAGGGAAAGUGAUAUUUAUAAAAAUGGGUAAGCCCUUAGACCAGCAAAGAGGUCUUUUGAGGGUGAUGGAUCAUCCAUUACCCUCGAGAACAAAACUGUGCAGACUGGAUCCAAAGCGGACAAUAUCUUGCUAGGCCUAAAAUGCCAUAUAUAAUGAGUAAAAUCACUUAACUUCUAAUAAAAUGAUUAAAUAGUUGAUGUUUUCAUACUAUAGAAACUAAAUAAUUUCUUCCAAAAAUAGAAUAACUUACGGGAUAAUGGUAAUAUUUACCCCUCUACUUACCUCUACUUACGGGAUAAUGGUAAUAUUCAGGUUUACAGAUUCAAGUGGCAGGACAAAUUCAAGCUUGAGUUAAUGUUCAAAUUAACACUCUCCUGAGGCCACUAAGAGGUUCAGCGAACACAAGGUCGCGAAGCAAUCCAAAUUCCGCAAUUGUCCAGUGUUUUUGCAUGAAAUGCGGCUCUCAGCUGUCAAGGCUUGUGCCUUGUUCUUGACAAGAGUUAUAACAUGCUCUAGACAAUAUUGUAGUCUUAUUCAAUUUUAAAUCAAUCAAGGGAAGCAAUGAAACAAUUUUAUGCAAAUUAUAUUACACUUUCCAAUUUAUGACUUGGUCUGAGGCAGAUAUUGAAUCAUGCCAAUAAAAAAAAAAUUAAAAAAAAAAAAAAAAAAAAAAAAAAAAAAAAAAAAAACACUAGAAAAGCUCUAAUAUUCGAGAAUCUCAUCGUAAAGCAAUAGUAUGAUUUACACAUUCACCCAAUACUCAGGGUUGUUAAAAUUGUGAACAUAUUUAAAUAAAUAUGAAUUUGGAUUGUAAUUAUAUCUAUUUUUAAGUGUAAUCCUUAACAUAUUUUAAAAACAAGGUGAUGUAAUUUACAUAACAUACCAGGAUCAUUAAUGUUUAAUAAUAAUUUGUUUCUCUAAUCCUCAAAUAGGACAUACCUCGGAAGCACAAGCAAUGCAAGGUACCAAAGAUGUCAAAACCAACUUGAAAUCCUGUGUGGUUUCAAAUGUUCGCAAUUCAUCAAUCAACGAGCUGCUACUUCAGUUGAUAGGAACUGCUUCCUAUCAAUAAAGAUUUAUGUUUGUUUAGAACUGAAACUCUCCUUUUCAAAUAACUCUUAACGAUAGAAAAGAUACCAACUCAAAUUUUAAGUUACCUUCGUGCAAGAAUUUCUCUGUUGAUCAAAUAAUGAGAGGCCUUAUCCAACACUGGGCAGAGACUUGACUACAAGUAACAUCAAUAGCAAUCUUGCAGUUUCCAGCUACAAAUUCAACUUGAGAUAUAAAAAGAUGCAGAUGCAUUAUAUUCUCACUUCCCAGGGAGGUCACUCCACAUCUGCCUAGCAAAGCAGCUCAUCUGUGCUAGUUGCUCACGAUUGGCUUGUAAAAUGCACCAUAUGCUACAAUCACAACAAACUUCUCUGUGCGGCUUGGGAUAGAUCAUAGUAAGUUUCUGUGUGAACGCUUCAACCUAAUAUGAAGGACAAAGAAAUCAAAAUGCAAACAUUAGAAAAUAUGCUUAAAAAACAAGUGAACAAUAGAUAUGAAGAAAACUCAAAUCCCAAGUCUCCAACGAAAUGAUUUUGUGAACUCAGACUAAACUUUCUUCAUAUCUAACAACAUAUUAGAUAUGAAGAAAGUUUAGUGAGUUGUAAUUUCCUGGCACUCUAUGUGAUUCUCCAAUCCAUUGUCUCUAGUUAACUGUGUCAUUUCGAACUAAUCCACCACUUUGUAAAGCUUGUUGAUAAAGUUCAUGCAACUUAAUUGAUGUAUUGAUCAGCAUAGCCAUUAUCGUCCCAAGCAUACUAAUUCAGGUAUUUAACCAAUCCUACCAAAGAACUAACAUAAUUGAUGAGAAACCCAAUUACGAAAAUGAUUAUGCAAUAUCAUUCAUGCAAUCUUUACUAUUUCAAUAUUGAUAACCAAUAAAUAUUCCUCCAUUUAAAUUGAAAAUUAAAUUAAAUGAUAAAAUAAGGGCAAAAUCAAGGAGUUCACAUGCAGCACUUGAUGUUGAGAUCGUGUUUUGGGGAGUUUGAGCUAAAGAUUGAUAAGGACAGAGACAAGACCUACAUACCGCCGCAUAAUCAUCAACACUAGGAGGAAUCUACCCAGCUAACUGCUGCUUCUUUCUUGAUAUUAUUCCUUUCCAUUAUUACUCUUAUUUCUGAUGCAUUUUCCCAUUGUCCCAUAUCGGCAUACAUGUUGUAUAACAAGACAUAUGGAACUGAGCUAUCUGGUUCGAGUUUCAUUAAUGCUUCAGCAGCAAUACGGGCAAUCUCUGCAUUGUUAUGGACCCUAGAAGCACCCAAUAAUGCACCCCAAACAGCCUUAUCUGGCUUAAAUGGCAUGCCAUUGAUCAAAUCCAAGGCCUCUUCAAGCUGUCCAUGCCGACCCACAAUGUCAACUAGGGAAGAGAAGUGUUCAAUCCUUGGCUCGAUGCCAUAUUCACUAACCAUGGAUUUAAAUAUCCCUCGACCUUCUUCAACCAGUCCAGCAUAAGCACAGGCAUUCAGAGCAGAAAUAAAUGUUAUAUAAGUAGGCUGCACUUUGGAAAUUCUCAUUAAUUUGAAAAGUUCCAAGGCCUCUGCAGCAUAACCAUGGGAUGCAUAUCCUCCAAUCAUUGCAUUCCAAGAAAUUACUUCUUUAUGCGGUUUCAUUUCAUCAAAAAUGGUCCAUGCCUCAAUUAUUGCCCCACAUCUUGAGUACAUCGUGAUGAGGGCAUUAUUCAAUGGCACAUCUGGGAUAACUGUCUUUCUGACCAGCUGAUGAAUCUGCAUACCCAAGUGCAGAUCCACAAUUCCAGAAGAUGCACUGAGAAGCGAAGAUAAUGUGUGUCGGUCAGGUUUCUCUCCUUCAACUUGCAUCCGAAAGAAGACCUUAAUUGCUCCUUUAUAAUCCUCCUUCUUCUCAUGCCCCGCAAUCAUGGAAUUCCACGACACCAAAUUCUUCUGGGGCAUCCUCUCAAAAAACUCAUGAGCAAGUUCCAAAUUACCUACCAGGGCAUGUCCUGAUAUCAUUGAAUUCCAUGAAAAGGAAUCAGGAUUUGGCAUUUUGCAAAAGAGGUUUGACGCCUCCUCCAUAUCUGAGACAUGAACAUAUCCACUAAUGAUGGUAUUCCAUGAAAAAGUGUCUAGUACAAUCAUUUGGUCAAAGAGUUCCCUAGCAGAAACAAUAUCUCCAGCCUUCACAUAGCACAUUAUCAUGGUAUUCCAUGACACCACAUUUCUCUCAAACCUCCCUUUACUUCCUUUUUGUUUGUCAUUAUUACUUGGCAUCUUAUCAAAAAGUUUCCGAGCUUCAUCCACCCUUCCUCUUUGACCAUAUCCCGCAAUCAAAGUAUUAUAAGCAUGCACCAACUCCUCUUUCCCACUAUUAUUAUUUCCAUAGUCAAGCAAAAUUUUUGCAGCUUCCUCAAGCUUCUCAUUAUGAAUAAGACCCGAUACAAGUGCACUCAACGAUGUUGAAUCCCUCUCUGGCAUUCUCUCAAAAAACUCAAUUGCACGCGCCACAUCACCAUUUUGCAAAAAACCAGAAACUAUAGCAUUCCAAGAAACAGCAUUUGGCUUAGGCAUUGUAUUAAAAAGCUGCAGAGCCUCCUCUAUUCUCCCAUUCCUUGCAUACCCACUAAUCAUUGUGUUCCAAGAAACGCAGUCCCUCUUUGGCAUUUUAUCAAACAAGCACCUUCCCUCCUCUAUAAACCUCUUCCCACGACAUGACACAUACCCCGAAAUCAUCAAAUUCCACGACACAACAUCCCUCUUUGGCAUUUCAUCAAAAAGCUUUCUUGCUUUAGUCAUCUCACCCUGUCUCGCAUACCCACUGAUCAUUGAGUUCCAUGAGAUGGUGUUUCUUUGCUCCAUUUUAUCAAACAAUGCCCUUGCAUCAUUAAUCUGACCUGUCUGGUUGAAACGCGUGAUUUUUUUAUUCAGGGAAAACAAGUCUCUGUCGCAAUCAUUAAAUGAACUCUUUGAUUUUGGAGCCGAUGCAAAACAGCUAGCUUCUAUGCUGAUGUAUGGCUUCCGUCUAGUCUGAAGCUUCCAUUUGCAUGAUGCGCCAAGGGCAAUUCUCAACCUGAGCAUAAUUUACAGAACAAGUUUACUGAACCUCUAAGAUUCAUUCAGCAACUGAUGAAUUAAACAAUCAAACUUUUUAUCAGAAAGUUAUUCAUUUUCUUAAUAUAUUUAGUUUUGCUCAGGUCACAUCACACGCUUGUCACACUCUUAACUUCUGAAACCAACAAAAAGAAUUAGGCGGUUUCAAAAAACGGUCAUCUAAUGGAACCUGCCAUAUUUGUCAAGCUAACUAAGAGUUUUCUUCACCUGUUCAACCUAUAAAAAUUUUUAAAACAAUUAUAAUCUACUAAAAAAAUAUUUUUUUUUUUAUAAAACUAAUAAUUGGCUAUAAAUAAAGGACAAUAUAAUUACCAAACCAGAAAUUACUAAUGCCACAGCUAGAUAUGUUAUUGACUUUUGAUUUGACAAUACUAUCUUAUAUGUAAGACGAUACUAUCCUUAUAUGUAAUAUUCUAAAUUUAUCAUUUUAUACUCUUAAAACUAUUCUUAUUAACUUCAAAUCUAUUCAUCUAUUUUUAUAUCAAUUCCAUACACAAUUUUUUCAUAUAGCCGACCCCCACUAGUUUGGACCUAAGGCUUGGUGGUGGUGGUUGUUUUUCCAUAUACAAUUUUUUCAAGAGAGAAAUAUUAACUUUGACAAACAUAUAAUAGCUAAACCUAAUACUUGUUUCAUCCUAUUAAUUAAUAAUGAAAAUUCGAAAAUCAGGACAACAAAAUUUAAAUGCAGAAAUAAAUAAAUAAAUAAAUAAAAUGAAAUUCUCAAGAAUACAUAUCAAACUAAAAAAUUUAAUUGUCUUCUUUAAUAAAAUAAUAAAAAAUGAACAUUAUUUUUCCCCAUUAAAUUUAUUCUUCUAAAUCCCUGAAAAUGUUAUUUUCCAGUUAACUCUGGUACCUGUUUAUAAAAUUAAAAAACAUUUCACAUGAACUAUAUAUUUUAGCUGCUUUUAAAAAUUUCACAUGACUAUACCAAAAUUUCCCUAAUCUCAGUUCCUUUGCAACCAAAACAUUUUUCCAUUCCUAUGGUUUGUUUAUUAACUGAACUAGCCAGUAUCUUACUGGUAGAUAAUUUGAUUUGGUAUAAUUUACUCAAAAAUCAAGUUGAAAAAAAAAAGCAGAACAUAUAUCCUCUCUUAUAAAAUGCUUACCGUGAGGAAAAUGAUAAAAUUACAGUCACGCAAAGAAGGCAAUACCAAAUAUGGAUUUUCUUUCUUUUCUUGCAUGUUCCCAAACAACUAAAGUGAUCUCUAGCCAUAUUUUCUCAGCCACCAAAAAAUUAGAAAAUAUAAUUACAGAAUUCUUAAUAUGCAAUUCGCAAAGUAAAACAAAUUAAAGAAGAGCUAAAAAAUGAAAAAGAAGGAUUGCUCACAUAGAUGUUGACAGUGAACUAAGUCGCUGCAGGACUGCACCUGCCAACAUAUUGAAUGGUGGUCAAAGACCGCUUUUGCUUCCUCCCAUUUUGAUUACUGCACAAAAAAUACCGGCAUAAAGGCUGUCAAGUAAAAGAGAUUCUCUAGAUUUCUGUCUCAGAUUCUAUAUCAAACAUGAAAAUAGAAAUUUGAGGCAAACGACAAUCAAUUUAUCUAAGAAAAGAUGAGUAAACAAAAAGUUAAAGUGAAAUGUGUCCAAUAAUGAACCUGAAUUCACAAAAUCAAAAAUAAUUGUUGCCUUCUUCCCUUCUAACUCUUCAAAAUUUCAGCUCUUUCAUUCAAAAUCUUCCCAAUCUCUUGCUAAUUCUGGAUAUUCAUGGAGUCUGGAAUCAAACGGUUAACAGAGAGGGUAGUUUCAUUUUUAUUUCAUCAAAAUUUGAUGAAAUGGAACAAAACUUGGGAUUUGGUUUGGGAAAUCACAAGGAAGUGUUGAAUUGAGAAGAAAAUAUUUAGAACUUUGAGAAGAGGACUUGGGUUGGUUUUUUGCUUAGUGACAUAAACAGGUUAGGAGGAAUGUGGCCUUUUUUUCACUCUUUUUUUGAAUGAAUUUCAAUGUUUAAGAGUAAAAGGUCAUAAAAAAAUUUAAUAAUAGUUGGACUUGUGCGGAGCUCGCCCGCAUGCAAGGUCCAACUUUAAAUAAAUAAUUAGUCAUUUAUCAGCAUAUUGUGGAUGGCAACGGGUCAGGUACACAAAAAGUGUCGUAUCCCAAUCCAAACUCACUUAAAUAUAAGGUACCUGAAUCCAUUUAAAAAAUUACCCCUGCAUUACCCAUAUUCGUCCCAAAUUGAAUUAGCAUUACCCAUUUGCAAUCCGGAUUCAUAGAAACAACCGUUUAACACAAAAUGAACAAAAUGCAUACAACACACAAUACACUAAACUGUAUAAACACUUGAUUAUUAUCGAACCCUUAUAAAAUAAAGAAAAUAGCAUGCUGUUAUUUUUACCACUCCAAUUGUCAGAAAUUGUAUGUAAUUACAUAGUUUUUACAAUUCAAAGAAACUUCAAGAAUCUACUAACUUAAUUAUAUAAUGGAGAGCAAGAAUGAAUACAUUUAAACUCCAGGUCUACGAAUAUGUGGCCUGUAAGUAUUUGGUCAAUAUAGUUUCUUGAAUCCCUGGACAAAAGAGACAGCUUAUUUGAUGAAAGUAAAAAUUAUUUAACUGCUGAAAAAGAAGAAUGCAUAAUGCAAUAAUGCAAUGUAUAGAGAAUGUAUAAUACAGUGUUGAUAUAUGGUUGUUAUUAGUUGUGUUUUCCAAUGCUUAUUUGUAGCAGUUCAUAUUAGUGAAGGUCUCACUGAUUACCUAAAUAAACCAAAUGAAAUAUAGGCAAUUUGAAUUAAUUAGUAAUCUUUAUUUCCUUGUGUAUGAGCUAAUGGAAAAUUUCUACAAAGGAGAGAGGGAGAAUAUGAAGAAUCAAUGUUAGAUUGUUGUUCCAGGAUUAGAUUUCAUUCCCAUCUGAACUUUGGCAGUCUUACAAAUCAGUUUCUAAUUUUGUGAAACUUAUGAAAAUUGUUCUGCAUGCCUACUGUAUAAAGUUUAUGCAUCUUUUGUCAGUUCAACUAAAGAAAAUAACACAUGCUGAUUUUACUUUAAAUAUUAAAUAGUAGCAUUUUUACGGAAAAGCCUUACCCUACAACCUACUGAGGAUGAUUUUGAUCAGAAGAUACAUAUUUAUUGAUCAAUCGUUUAGGUUUUUCAAUGAAAUUUUUGAAAUGCAUUUAGAAUUAAAUGCUUAACAGAAUCAUUUAGAUCUUUAGAAGUUAAGGAUUUUAAUCAACUUGCUUCAAUUUCACUCAUUUAUGUAUAAUUUUCUUGGUGUCUUUGCAAUUACAGAUACCAUCCAACACUUAAGUACAAAGAAUUCUGUACACUGGGAUGAUUCUAUUGUCAUUAAACUUGUUUUGACCGGCAUUUUAAGGAACUGAUUUUUCUAAACAAGAUUUACAAUCAGCAACAAAGAUAAAAAGAAACAAAAGAAAAGAAAUAAAAACUGCAGAAACAGGACAAGACAAAACCAGCAAAAAGAACAAAAGGAAACCAAAAACCAAAAAGAACUAAAGCGGCAAAACCAAACCAAAGAAUAAAAUAAGGCCCAAAGCAGCAGUAACAGUUUAAAAAAAAAAAAAAAAAAAAAAGAAAAAAGAAAAAAAGAGCAUAAGAAACCAAUUAACUUAGUCUAUCAUAUCAACGGCUAUUUACAUUCACAAAAUCAAACCACAUACUCAAUUUACAGUAAAGUGAAGAAAACAAAAAACGAAAUUAUUGACAGAGCUUUAACUUUAACAGUAACAAAAAUACCUUGCGAUUUGCGAGCCACAGAGCUAGUCUUGAACGAGACACAGAGCUUGUCGGCGGAGAUCGCCGCUCUUGAGGCGCGCUCGUCACUCGUCGGAUAAAAGGCAACAGGCAAAUCGAAGAUGAGAGACUAAGGCAACAAGAGAAAAAAUCAGAUCGAGGCAAAACUACUGCCUCGCGAAGAACGAAUUGAACUUUGAUUUAAAAAGUUAAUUCAAAACGACGUGGUUUGGUUAAGGCAUUUUCUGUGUCAAAACUUCGUCGUUCUGGUAGUGAAGUGUUAGUUAUUUUCUUCCUUUCUUUUUCUGGCCUAAUACAGAGAGAUAAUUAAAAUUUUAUGUAAUUCAGUUAUAAAUUUAAUUUUUAUAUCUGAUAUGCAAAAACUAAAAAUUUAAAUUUUGUGAAUUUAAUUCUAUAAUAUAAUUAAAUUAAAUUUCAUAAAAAAGUGAAAUUUUAGAAUGAAUUUCAUAAAUUUAAACAAUAUAUUUUCGCAGAUAAUAGUAGAUAAGUUCUUGAUGGGCUUAAAUCUAUGUUUCUGUAUUUUACACAACCAGCAAUUGAACAGAAAAAAAAAACAUUCGACCAUAAAAUGACAAGCAUCUAUUCCAAUCAAAAUUAUUAGUGAUCCAAGUUAUCAAAUGGGCCUCAAAUAUACACAAAGCCCAAACACAACAGAUACACACUCAUCAUCCUUAUAUUUAUUCAUCAAGUGGGCCCAAGCCAGCAGGAGGCGGUUACCAAAUGUACAAAGUUAAAUAUAUAGAGUAGAUACAACAGCUGCUAGCAUCUGCUUCUUGAAUGUUUUCACUGUAUUGAACUAUUCUACAAUACAAUUUUUGUCUCCAUUAAUACACUGUUUCAGUUUUCUCUUUCUCUGGUGAAGAAUGCUUUGAUAAUCUCAUCAGUUAGCAAACCUCAAUAAUCUUUUUUGUUGUUAAAAUUUUGAUUAACAGCCUAGCCUGAUAUGGUGGUGACAAUUCUAAAUGAAAACAUAACCAAUAAUUAAAAAAAAAAAAAAAAGAAAUAAAAAUACCUAUGCUUUUAUUGUGUUUCAGCCAUUCAUUUUGUUAAGAUUUGAUGGGAGGUUUAAAUUGAUAUAAUCUUAAAUUCAUAUAUUGAAUUGAAAAAAUUACGAAAUCAAAUCGAAGAAAAAGUAAACUUUCUUUUUAUUUGAUGCAAAUUGAAUUGCUUAGCGUGACUAAUAAACUACAGGCCCAUUUUGGCCCAUUCUCCAAAUUUUGGGCCCUCAUACUGGGCCUAAACGCACUCGUACUUUUACCCAAUUCCUCUUUGGCAAAAACCCAUAACUAUAAAUUUCCAUCUAUCUCUGGUAGGAAAAAGAUAAAAUUCCAACUAGUCCAUGAGGUUCAGCCAACUGUACAGUUUCAUCCCAAUAUUUAAAAAUAAAAGGAAUUAAGGAGUCCCAAAAUUUAAUUCCAUUAAUGAAAUAAUAUUUUUAUUUCCAUAGACCUGGUUUAGGUAGGUCUAAACCUUAUUAUAAUUAAUAUUAAUUAACCAAUAGUCAAUAAAUAUUUUUUUGAAAAAUAUAAUUCAUUAACUAUAAUAUCAAACAUUACGAAUAAUCAUAUAGAUCAGACAAUGAAUUUUACUAUCAUAAGCUAAUAGAGUUCGUUGAUCUUUUAACAAGCUAAAAUAAUUAUAUAUAUUCUUUUGAAUGAUAAUACUAAAUAUAAGAAAAUAUAAUAUUAUAUCUUUCCACUUGAAGAUGAUCUUGAUAAAAGAUAUAAAUAUUCUUAUUACCAACUAGUUUUUUAAUUGAUUUGGAUAGUAAAAUAAUAAUUACUUUGGAUCUUUUAUAUCUGAAUUGUUUUUAGCUAAAUUGUUUUUUCAAGGACUUGUAAUAUAUAACAUACACAUAUGAAUUCUCGCCAACAUACAUCAAUAGUAUCAAUAGAGGAACAAGUCGCACUAUUAGACUUCGUUGAUCAAAGAUUCACAUUUACAAAUCAAUAUCAAAAGUUUCCAACCAAAUAAAAUCAAAUAUUAUACUUUUAUUUAUAAUAAACUCUCAUACAGAAGGAACAAAAAGCUCUAAAUACGGAAACAAAAUAACAAUAAUAAAAAUCAAAACAAAUAUAUUAUAUGAUAAAUAGAUAUGAAUUUAUUAAAAUGGCUAAGAGAAUUUAAAAGAGAAAAAGAGAAGAAGUUGAAUCAAAGGAAAAAAAUAGAAUGUAGGAGAUUAUCACUAAUCAACAUCAAGCGGCCACAAACUAAAUUUUUAAACAUUUUAUAAAUUUCAAUCAAUGACUUCGUUAUUUUAGGUGUCUCGUCAUGCCGAAGAGAUAAUAAAAAAUCAAAAUUCGAAAGACUCAAGAAAGAUCAUCUUUUCACCAUUCAUAUUUAAAUAUAAUAUAUAUAACGGCAGAGCUUCUUAUGGUCGAAAGGUCGCUGGGCAAUUCUAAGAAAUUUUUUUUAAAAGAAAAAUUCUUAUGAAAUAUUAUAUUUUGGUCUUUAAAAAUAUAAAAAAAUUAUAUUUUGAUACCCUAAAAGUUUUUAAAACUUCAUUUAGCUUGUUUAAAGUAAUUGUCUUAGUUCUGUGCUGAAUAUAUAUAUAUAUAUAUAUAUAUAUAUAUAUAUAUUAAAUAUUCUAUGUAUUAUCCCUAUCACAUUUGCAUUGAUAACCAGGACAAGAAGCUUGUAGCCAAAUGUUAGAGUACUGACAACUAAUUCCCACUGUGAAAUGUUUUAUUAGCCUCUGAUCAUCAAUGAUUAAGUGGCCCACUUGUUUUAAUUUGUCCAGAACUUAUGGAAUAAUUAAUCAAGUAUUAAUAAUUAUUUUUGGAAGCGAACAUUCUAGAUAUACCUUUUUUCUCUUGUUCAGCUACUGCAACAUUUUUGUUGGAGAAUCAAGAACUUAUGGCUUAAAAUAUUCGCAUAUACUAUAUUAAGUACUCCCAUCUUCAAAAUAGUUCAUUUUCUAUUUUUACACAGAUUAAAAAAAUAAUAAUUAUUAUGAGUUUUGACAAUUCUAUUCCUAUAACUUUUCUAUCAUACCAUUUUAAAUAACAUAUGAGCAAUUAUUAUAUUUAAAUAAUAAGUAAAAAUUAAUGAGGGUUAUUGAAAAUAAGAAAAAAUUUAAUAAGGGUAUAAUAGACAAUUUCAUGAUUAACUAUAAUACAAAAAAGAAAAAUAAACCAUAUUUUAGGACAAAUUAAAAAGAAAAGAUGAAAUAUUUUUUUGAGGCAGAUCUAUUAUUCUUCUCACAAUAAUGAUUUUAUAAGUACAGUUUUUUUUUUUCUUUAUACUCAAAUGAUAUGAGAAGCUAAUUUUAUAAAAAACGAAGAUUAAUUUGUCUUUGAAUUUGUUUAAUAGGAUAAAAAAUGUCAAGAUUUGAUCUUUUUAGAUCAAUUUAACAUCUAAACUUAUUUAAAAUAAUUAAAAAGAUCAGAUUUAAUAUUUUGGAUUAAUUUAGUCCCUGACUAUUCGCUGUAUUUAUAACGUGAGAAUUCUUAUAUAGACAUUUAUUAAAAUUAUAGUUGGAAUCACGUGGUAUAAUUUAUUGAAAAAUUUAAUUAAAUAUCAAAUUGAGGAAAUAAUAUAUGAAAUAUAUUAUAUCCCUCUUUAUCUUGAUCUAUCAUUUUAAAUUCAUAAAUAUGUACUAAUUUAAAUAUUUUAAAAUUGAACUUUACUACUAGAUUAUUGCAUAUGCAGUUCAUGCAUUUCUCAUGUUAAACGAAUUCAAAGUUACACUACAUAUUUUAUAAAUUUACUGUGUUAAAGAAAUAAUAUUUUCGUGAUUUUAAAAUUCUAUUCAGAAGUAUUGGAAAAGUUUGAUCUAGAUAUUCCUAUUAAAUUGAAUCAAUUUAUUAUUUUGUAAAAAUCAAAAUAAAUUUAGUGGCUGAAUUGAUUUAAAAAAAAUCAAAUCUGACUUUUAAAUCCCAUAAAUAAGUUCGUGAGCUAAAUUAGUCUUUAUUCCAUUUUAUAACCACAAAGUCGUGUUUAAAAUUUUAAACAAUAUGGUUCUUAUGUUGCCUGUAACGGUUUCGUAUGCUCUAGUAGCUUUCUCUCUUUUGUCCAAGGUUUCUUGUCCUGCCAACAUGGAGAGGGACUUUAAUCAUUUGUCAAUCGCUGAUGAUGAGGAAGAAGGCUUGCCUGUUAACGCAUCUUCAGAUGCCACCAAGUCUACCUACGAAUUUUGUCUUGUCGACAUGUUCUUGACUUGCGGGACUGUGAAUUUUUAGUCCAUGCGAAACACUUUCGCAGAUUUGUGGCAUUCGCUCGGAGGGAUUAUAAUUACUGAUUUGGGAGCCAAACGUUUUCUGUUUCGGUUCUACAACAAAGUGGAUUUGGAUAGGGUUUUGAAUGGUGCCCCAUGGACUUUUAAUCGACACUUGCUGGUAUGGGGUCUGAUAAAAAAUGAUGAGGACCCGCUGCUGAUUCCUUUGCUAUACUCGGAUUUCUGGGUUCAGGUACAUAACUUGCCGGUCGGGUUAAUGUCUGCGGCAGUGGCCAAAUCAAUAGGGAAUUUCAUUGGUACUUUCAUUGAAUAUGACAUUAAGACUGUUCAUUUUGAUCCCAAUCAAUUUAUGAGACUGCAGGUUAAGUUGGAUAUUCGUACCUUUACGUAGAGGAAAGAAGUUGAUUGAUUCUAAUGGUAAUGUUCAUUAUGUCCAAUUCCAGAAUGAAAAACUUCUUGUGUUUUGCUAUACUUGCGGUCGCUUGGGACACACCGAUUCGUUCUGUAAAUUACAAUUGCACAAGUCUAAAAAAGAACUCAAGCCAGCUUGGGAUGAUCGAAUAAGGGUGCCGAUUCGCCGGAAAAUUCAGCAAACAACCAUGGCUGCAUGAUGAUAGAAAGUUUGAUGAUACUCCAAUCCAGGCAGAUAUUUCGGGAUGUGUGGGCGGGAAAUAUGGAGUUUUGAAAUCCCAACAAUUUUGAGCUUCCUUUUAUGGCACGAUAGUUAAUUUUAAUGUUAGUACUAAUCCCAUAGGCUUUAUGGAGACUGAUACAAAUUCUUUGAAUGGGUCCAAUACUGAUGGGCUUGACGAGGAUGUGGUCUUAGAAGAUGUGGGUGAAAUGAAGAAGAGGCCCCGAUGAUCCUUUUUGGUGAGGGUAUUAAAGUGGCUAGUGAUCCUUGAGGAGGAUCCUUUUUGCUGUAGAAUCAACGUGGUAGCUCUACUGUGGAUAUUGCCGUGAAGUACCUAUCGAAUUGGAGAGAAGUGUGUCUGCCACAUGAAGCUGCUGUGACGUCCAUUUCAGUGCUUCAUUGACAUGCACAUAAAGCACCAUCCAUUCACGCUCACAAUUUUGUUUGGAUUUGCUUCAUUGAUGGAUCAGUGUUCACAACCAUGGAUUUCAUUGGCUAUGCUUAUGUUAUUGAGGACAGUGAGGGACGGUUUCAACGUGCAGUGUCAGGGUUUCAGGAAGGCAAUGGCUCGGCGGUGGUGAUGGAGGCUAUAGCUCUUCGUUCCUGCCUUUCAUAUGCUCGUGAUUUUCUAUCUUUAAAUGGGUGUAUUUUUUCAAAUUGCCAAAAUCUUAUGAAUGCUCUCAAAUCCCAUUGUUUUAGAUAAUUUUGAAUUUGGUUUGAUUGUUCUUGAUUGUAAGCGAAUUUUAGAGUCUAGACAUGAUAUUACUGUCAGGUGGAUUCAGAGACAAGCUAAUAUGGAUGCUCACACUCUUGCUAGAGCAUCUAUACAUCAUGCUCGUUUCCAAAUUUGGGAUGAUGUUCGUCUUGUUAGUUAGAUUUUUUCCAUUGAGAUAAUGCAAUAUUAUUUCAUUUAAAACAAAUUUAAAACAAUAUAUAAAUUUUAUCAAACAAAUUUAAAUUAAUAACUCUAAAAAAUUUUAAUUUUUAGAUAUUAAAUGGUGUUAUUAGAUGUAAACUAAAUUUAUAUUGUUAUUUCAAUUUAAAUGUCUAAACAAAAUUCUCAAAUUCUUUUUUUGUUAAUAUUUUUUUGGAGAAAUAUAAUUCAUUAAUAAUAAAAGUAUUACAAAUACUCAAUUAGAUCAAAUAUAAAACUUAUUAUCAUAAUUAAUAAAAAGUUCGAUGAUCCUUCAACAAUAAAAGAAUUAUCUAUAUUUUUUUGAAUAGUAAAACUAAAAUUAAAAGAAACAGUUGGAGUUUUCCGCUUGAAAAAAACUUUGAUCGAUAUAAAUCUUCAUAGUAACAACUGAUCCUUUAAUUGAUUUGGACGAUAAAAUAACUUUUUCGAACUUUAUAUGCUUGGAUUGCUUUUUCAAAAAUUUGUUGCAUAUAACAUAUGCGGAUGAGUUUAAACCACUAUGGGUUAAUAGCAUGAAUGAAGGAACAGACUGUACUAUCAGGUUCCAUUGGUUGAAGAUACACAUCAGUAAAACAAGAUCGAAAUUCUCCAAUCAAAUAAAAUCAAAUGUCAUACCUUUUAAUAAUAAAUCUUCACAAGGAACUAAACCCUCUCAAAAGAAUGGGCAAAAAAACUCCAAAUAUGGAGACAAAACAAAUCAAUAACAAAAACAACAAUAACAAAAAUAUAUCUAUUAGAAGAAAAUGGAUUUGAGUUUAUUAAAAACAAAUAAAAGAUUAGGAGCCAGAAGAAAAAAAAAAAAAGUAUGGGGCUACUACUGAUUAACAAUGGCAACCUCAAACAAAAACUAUGAUUAAAUAAAUCAGAGAGAAAAGAGGAGGAGAGAAACCCUAAAACUAUCGAUUUUUUUUUUGUUAAUAUUUAAAAUGACGGUUUUUUUUUUUUUUUUUUUUUUUUUUGCGAAUGUUAAACAAAUCCCUAAAUAGUAUAGGUAAUAAAAUAAAAAAAAAUAUGUAUCACUUUAAUAAUAAUUUCAUGUUAAAAAAUGUUGGAAAAAUAGAGCUCUUGAAUAGGAAAAUCCGGUAUCGAAUUUUUGCUCUGCUAGGGUUUAUCACUUUAACAUUUAAAAAAAAAAAAAAACUAUUUUCAAGACAGUUCAUUUUCUAUUAUUUCUUUUUAAUAUUGAAUAUUAAUUAAAUAACUUACUUUUAAAAAUAUUUUUCCUUGACUUUUUUAAACACUUUAAAUAUAGAAAAAAUUCAAAAAUAUUUUUUAAAUAAAUUAUUUUCAAGAAAAAAUCUUGGAUAAUGGAAAUUUGGAAAAUUAGAUAAAUAAUAAUAAAACCUUAUGCACAGCAAACAUUUGUUAUAUGGUGUCCCAAGAAUAGUAAAACUUGUGGCUGAAUUUUGUAUUUCUUUUUUAGAUCACUCUCUAUCACGCUCUUAACAAUUCCCAUUUGCUGAAGUGGUCCCCAUAAAAGUAUUCUUGAUUGAGAUUUGAAUACGAAUUUCAAUUAAGUAAGCUUCAAGUUACAAACAUCAUCUUCACAAAAUUUCCUUCAUUGGUGAAGCAUUUAUCAUUUGGUAAGUUUUCUCAGAUUUAACACUAUGUUUGGAAUUGGGAGAUUUUAUGAUAGGAAGAAAAUUUUGAAUGGAAAAUAAGAAAAGAAAGCUAUUUUCCUCCUGCUUAAAUGUAAAUAAAAUUUGAAAGGAAAGAAAAUAUUACCAAAAUCCUUUCUGUCCCAUAUUUUAUUAAUCUCUCCAAAUUGGCGAGAAAAUAGGAGAUAAAUGUAUAAAAGGAUAGAAGUGUAAAUUUACAACAAUACAAUUUUCUUUCCUCCAUAUUUUAGACUUUUCUAAAUAAUAUAUAUAUAUAUAUAUUUUUUAUUUUUUUUUUUCCUUUCAAUCUAAACAUAAAAUGGAAAAUAAAGAAAAAAAGAGCUCUUGUUUUACUCGGCACAUGUACAAAAUAUAAGACAUCAAUGUGUUGAACAUGCAAAUCCCAUGCAUGUAUCUGCCAUGCAGGGAUUCAUAAUUAGCUCAACUGAAAAAUUGUUAAGAUCUUUCUUCAUUGUCUUUUUGUCAUAUAAAAAAACACGAGAAAAAUAAAAUAAAACAAGAAAAGGAAGCGCAUGCACAUGCCUGUAAAUGUAUAAUAUACAUCCAUCCAAAUGGGCAAAGAUUAGAUGCCUUCUCACCAUUUUUCCGCGCAUCCAAAACCGUAAGGGGCCACUCACACUUGAUGUGCAGGAUACUUAAAUCAGUUACGCAGCCAGAAAAUUAAAAUUAGAGAUAAAAAAAUUUUCAAGAGUUAACAAGAGUGAGAUUAAAAAUUUUAUUAUUUUAAAAGGAAAAAUAAAAAAUUUUAUUAUUUUUUAUUAUUAGACUAAUUUUAAAAGGUAAAAUAAUAUAUUUUCAUAUAUUAUUAGACUAAUUUUAUUUUAAAAUUUAAUAUUAUUUCUUCUAAGUAUUUUUUUAUGAAUAGAAAUUUUAAUAGAGAAUUAGAGAUCAUCCACUGGAUUUAAAAGUUAAAAUAUAUUUAUAAAUUAUUUCAUCUAUUACACUUAAAUUAUCAACUUGUAGCUUCUUCAUACAAAAUAAGGAGAUAAUUAAUUUAUCUUAAAUCUAUAAAAUUUUCAUUUGAAAUUAUUUUAAUAUUUAUUUUAUAAAAUAUUAUUAAGAGCGAAUGAAUAGUGAGAUCCAAUAAAGAAGAGUAAAAAAUUAAAAAUGUAAUAUACUCUUUUCUAAAUUAUAUAAAAAAAUGACACUUAAAAUAGAACAAAAAAAAAUCUUAAAAGUUAAACAGAAUAUCGGAAGUAUAAAUAAUAGAUUUUAUUUUUUAUUUUUUAAAAAUCGAAUUAAUCAGAGCAAUACUAACAAAAUAAUAUUGUAAAGUUACUUAGGACAUCCCUUCCUCUUAUCUCUCCGUGUGGUCGCUUUCAUUGGCUUCAUAAUCAUACACAUAUUCAUGGCCCACUUACGAAGCCAUCUCACAACCACAAAAUAUAAUUUUCAAAAGAAAAAUGACCGUUCGGACAGCUUGUUAAGUUUUUCCACACUUCUUCCUCACUUUCCCACUCUCUAUAACGGCUACAAUAGAAGGCUCUGGAACAAUCUACCUGUUUUAAGACGGCGGGACACGUGUAACCAAUCACAUGGGCUGCUUUUGCUCGAAAAUGGAGAAGAAUAAGCUGUAGUGUUACUCUUAGAUGUGAAUUAUUUGCUUCAAAUGAUGCUUUAGUUGUUUCUAGUGAAAAUAGAGCAAUAGUAAUUUUUUUUUUUUACCAUUUAAUAUGAUGUACAAUGAAUUUUUUACACUAUGUACUAUUAUGCAGCAGUUACAACAUUUUAAAGUCCAUCAAAUAGUAUAAUCCAUUAGAAAAUCCAAUAAAUUUCUCAUUGCUCUUUUGAAUAAUAUUUACUAUAUUUGUGCAUAUUAAUUAUUAAAAAAAAUUUAUUUACACCCGGUGUUUGGAUCUAUUUAUACAUCAAAUCAAUCACAAAUAAUAUUUUGAUUUAAUCAAAUGUAUUUCUAAUCAUAUAUUAAAAAAAGAUAAAAUAAUAAUUUUUUUGAUUGGUUUACUGAAUGAGACUACCCAUAUACUAAGUGUUGAUAAAAAUUUCCUUAAUUAUUAUAGAAAAGUUAGAAAUAAUUCAAUCGCUUUUCCUUAACUUACUUUUUUGCACUUAAUGUAAUAAAAAAAACUUCAAAACUUUAAUAAUGUAAAAUGAUUCUUACUAAAUUGUAUAGUUAAGUCUAAUAGGAUUGUUGAGACUUUGGUUCUUAAUUUAUGAAAUUUCAAUUUUUAUCCUAAAAAAAAAAAAACAAAGUAACAGGAAAGCUCAUAUAAAUGAACAUGCAAGAGAAAAAAAAAUCAUUUUUUAACUAAAGUAAAUUAUUGCAUACUUCCCUCCUAGAUUACUCUGAAAAAUAAAAAAUAAAAUACACAAAAUUAAAAAUAUACGAGCUUUGUUAACAGAUACAUAUUACGUACAUUUACGAUUACAUUCUUAGCAUAAUAUCAAAAUUUUCAAAAACAUUACAGUUCUUUUAUUCUAUUUACAUUGUAAGUAUCUCUCUACACAGAUUAUGCCAAAAAUACUUUUUGAAUAUCAGUUAAUCAGAUUUAAAAUAGAAUCAGGUGCAGGUGAUAUUACUUAAAAAAAUAAUAUUUCACUGUGCCACGGCAUAUAAGAUAAAAGUGUAAUCGGCAUAUAAGAAGGCACAAAAUCAAGAGAGUUGACAUGAAUGGACUGCUGUUGGGAGUGUGAGUUGGACGGAUUUGAAAUAAAGAUAAGAGGAAAGGCAUAGGUGGGACCUGUUUACUGUGCCACAGCAUGAACCGUGAUGUUUUUUGCCAGCUGGUGGACACGUGAUUCUUGAUUAGUUCAAUUACUGCAUUUGAUCAAACAUGGCCCCACUCUUUGAAUAUUUAAUUUAAGAAAAAAACCCAACCAGAACACCUCAUAUUUCCUGACUGAAAUGCUUGCUUGCUGCGGGCUACUACAAUAUAUAAGAUAUAUCUAUACUGAAACCCUUUAUCUUUAAUUGGCAUUAUUAAAAGAUUUUGUAACCUUACACCGUGGAAAUACUGGAAAUGACAAUUUUAACUCAUUUAAAUGUAAAAGUUAAUUAACAAAUUUAUUUUGGAUAAUUUAUACAAAAUAUGAAUAAAUAUUGUAUUUCUAAAAUAUAAGUCGUUUAAAGUAUUGCAUGCGAUUAAUGAAUCAAUUAAUUUCGCUAAAAAUUAUAUCACUCCGUCUCAAAAUUUAAGUUGUCUAAGGUGAUAAUUUUAUCACAAAAUAUAAGUCAUUUUGAAUAUUUUAAGAAAUUACAAAUGAUUUUUUUUCUUUCAACUGUAUCCUUAUUUAUAUUAGAUAUAAUACAACGAUGUGAGAUAAAAGUAACAAUGAGAGAUAAAUGAUAAUUUGUUCAAAUUACUCUUGAUUUUGUUAGAAAUUUAGAAAAAUUAAUUGCAUUUUUAAUUCUCGUAUAAAAAUCUUAAACGACUUAUAUUUUGGACAAAUAGAGUAAUAAACUCAACAAUAAUUUGAUUUAUGAGAAUUAAUUUAAACGAUCAAAUUAUCCUUAAUCUCAAAAUCAAGUUAUUGUAUUAUGAAUAAAGUUAAAAUUGGAAAAAAGAUUAUUUGUUAAAUAUGUUUUGAAAUCAAAUAGUUUUAUGAGUUAAAAAGAUUAGAAAUAAUCAUUUUUUAAAUUCAUUUGGUGUUAAAUUGGGAUGAUAAAUUAUCAAAAAAAAAAAAAAAAUAUAUAUAUAUAUAUAUAUUUGACAAACAGAUUGAAAGCUAGUUCUUUUGAAAGUUUACUGAGAACACAAAUUACAAGCUCAUAGUAGUUAGUAGCUUGAUUAAGGAAACCCAUGAAGGACAAAAUGACAGUGGCAAAUGCCUUUGAGACCAAAAGGCUUCAGCUUCAAUUUUUUAUAACGUAACAUUUAAUAUCUUUCUCUUUAUGAUUUUUAAAUUAUUGUAAUUGCUAUCAACAGUAUAAAGUAUAGAAAAUUCAUUAUAUAUAAUAUUGAAUAAAAAAAAAAAAAGGGUGAGAAAUGUCAUUAUUUAUAGAAUUAAUUCACACAAACAUAAAUGCGAAGCUUCAUUCUACCUUUUAGGUGCUACCAUUCACUGAAGGGGAACGCACGCAUCAUUGAAGCUCAACGCCUGUCUUUUGCACUUUUCAAACUGAAUCAUUUCAUUCGUGAAAUAAAUUGAUGGAUAAAGGGCAAUUGCCAAACAAUAUUAACGGCAAAAACAAACGAGUCUUUUUUUUUUUUCUUUUUCUUUUCUUUUCAUUAGAAUAUUUAAAGUAUUGGUUAGAGGUAUAAUUAUAAAAUAUAAUUGAUCUCAUAAUUAAUCUUUUCCUUUUCUUAAUAAUAAUCAUUAUAGUCUUGCUUUUGGUGUUAUAGUUGUUUUUUUUUUUUAAUAAUAAAAAAAUAAUGUAUUAUGUCAAUCGAAUGUGAUCUGAUUGGUAUUUCCAUUCACCUUGAGAAGUUUCAAAUUUUAGAUAGUUAACUAUCAGAGUUAUCGUCAAUUUUGCUUAUAAAACAACAAGAGAGCUACCUAUAUUAUGCAGCCCACAAAAAUUCUUUAUAAUAAAUUAAAAAAAUAUUAUUUUAUUAAAAUUGAUAUAUUAUAUUUGUUAUUUAAUAGUUUGAACUAGAAAAAUAAGCUACUAAAAUUCACACAGAUUUUCUUAAAUAUAAAUUUUUACUAUGAAAAAUAGAAAUCAAAGUCAGAAAACAGAAAUGAUACAAAAUAGACACGUAAUCAUAUUUGAUGAGCAUUUCUCAUAAUACACGUUAGCUUGUUUAGCUUGUUUCGUGUAAAUUGAUGAUCCCAUUCUGUUUCGACAUAAAUGGUAUCAUUGGUUAUUAUAAACAAUUUCAAAAAUUUUUGAGCUACCACCAUAAAUACAACUUGUAUGAUUUCAAUUUUCAAAUUUAAAAGUUAUCUAAUAUCUACUUUAUCAAUGGACCUACACCUUUCCAAAUUUCUUGUUAAUCUUAUGCAUUAGAAAAUUUAGCCAAAUAAAAUUGAUAUUAUAUAUCAAUUUUAUUUAUUUUUCAAUUUAAAAUCACAAGUUUAAUUAUCGGAAAAUGCAUAUACUAUGAAGAAAAAAUUUUUAUAAUCAACUAUCCAAAAGAGAUUAGUUUACACCAAUAUAGUAGAAGAAAAAUAGUGGAAGAACACGUGACGAUUCUAAUAUGAUAUACAUAAACUAAAAAUAUUUUAAAGGAGUCUUCACUUAUAAUUUUGUUUUCAAAAUUUAAUACUUGUAAUUUGUUUUAACCAACUAUUUACUAUUUUUAAUUGAUUUUGUAAACUCAAAACUCCAUUUAUUUUUCAAAAAAUAAUUUAUUUUUAAAAAAUAUUUUUAAAAGCAAAACAUACUUGAAAAUUUGAAAUAACACAUUUUCUAUUGUUUGGUUACAAUAUUGAAAAAUUGUUAAAAAAUAUUAAAGCUUUUAUAAGAUCGAAAAAAUUUAUAAUUAUAAAAAGUUUCACAUUUUAAAAUUUUAUUAUUUAAUACAACAUAAAUAUUUAUUACGUGCUUGAUUGUAAUUUGUAUCUAAGACUUAAUCAUAUUUUAUGGACCAAAGAUAUAUUUUGUAUAGAAUCCAGAUAGAAAUAAGAGAUUAUAUUCCUAAAUCCUUCGCUAACUCUCAAUGAACUAGCAAUCACUCCAAAAUACUUAUUGAAUUGGUAUUUCAAAUAUUUAUCUAAUAAAGAUUCCACCUACAACUCUAAUGAAAAUUCUUUACCUCUGUAUAAAAGAGGGAUCAAACUCCCUACUCACACUAUUUAGGCAAUGUAAUACCAAUAUAUUUCAUUCAAUUAUAAGUAUUUAUUAUUUAUUUACUGACUUAAACAUAAAAGUGAUUGCAGGCCUAGAUGAGACCUUUAUUAUUCGUUUAUGUCUUGCAGAUUUCUACGGACCUCUCUUUAUUUUUCCUUGUUCAUUUAUGUCUUACAGAUUUUUACAUAGGCGCUAUGGAUAGAUUUUUCUAAGUCUAUCAUUAUUAAAUAUGAGAAACAAUAUUAUAAAAAAAGAUAAAUUACGAUAUCUAUCGAUGACCGUGGUCGUGAAAAUAAUGAUUAAUUAAUAAUAAAUAUGUAUUUAUAAGUUUAUAAUAAAUUUAUCAGUAUCUGAAAAAUAUUUUUCUCUUUUAGAAAAAGAAAGUUAUAAAAAUGAUUUAGUUCUCUCUUUCUUAAGGAAAAUAUCAUCUGUUGCUAAUUUUCUUGAACACUUCAAACAUUAAAAAAAAAUCUAAAAAAUAUUAUUCAGACAAGUUAUUUCUCGAAAUUAAUGGAAUCUCAAUAUUAAUUUAUUAUUAUUUUUUCCAUUGAGAAAAAAAUAUAUUAGAUUUAUUCCACUAUUGAGAAUAAAGGAAAUCAUUUAAAAUAAGAAAGCUCAAAAAGUUAUAGCCGUAAUACUAAUAGCAUUAUUUCAAAUUUGUUUGACAUGAUGUAAUCAACCGAAAUGAUAAUUACAUUAUAUGAGUAAUUACAUUAUUUGAUUAGACUUUUUUUAAUAGCGUAGUAUAAUUGAGACUACGUGUAUAAUCUUCAUCACUUAAAUUGAUGUAAUACUCAUUACAUGAAAAAACACACAUAUUGUCUAUUACAUCAAGUAAAUGGAAUACCGAUUAUAUUAAGUCAUCCCAAUCAAAACUCUACCAUUCUAGAUUAUUUAGGCUGUGUUGGGUAAUAAAGUUUUGAGUGGCUUUUAAAGUUUUGACUGGUCAAAACGUUACUUAAAAAGUUGUUUGGUAACAUAGCGUUUGGACUAGCUUUUAGAGAUUAGAAUAACGUUUUGUGAAAAGUUAACUCACGUAACGUUUAGCUUUUAGCGUUUCAUGAAAAACUACUCAAACAGCUAACAACUAAACACUAUUAAAAUAGCAAAUAGCUACCAAAAUAGCUAAUUUUGCCGAACAUAUCCUUAAUACUACCACUUCACCACCACAACCACUAUCACCGCUUCACCACCACAGCACCACCUUAACACCCACCACAACCACUGCCACAAUUACUACUCCACCACCACCACCACCACUACUGUUCCAUCACUACUUCAACCACCAUUACCGCUCUGCAACGACAACCAUCACCAUUGUUCUACCAUCACCACUACUACCACCAUCACUGCUCCAUCACUAUCACCUCAACUACCACCACCGCUGCUGCUGCCUCAACUCCUACCAUCAUCGCUCCACCACCACUAUCACCACCAUCGCUUUACCACCACCACCAUGUGGUGGUGAUAUGAUUAGUGGUGAUGGUGUGCUAAUUAUAUUACAUAUUUACAAAAAAAAAAAAAAAGAACGAUGAUUAUAUUCCUAAAUUUUCUUGAUAAUAUUAUCAAACAUAGUAAUGAAAUCUUAAUUAAAUUACGUUUUUCAUCACAUUACUUCUUUAAUUACAUUAUAUUGCCUUACAUCAAACCAGACAUAGCGUUAGCAUGUAUAUCCUCAUACACAUCAAAACUUGACUCUAAUAUCUAUGAGAAAAAUGCACAGUUAAGCCCUUAAAUUUAAUCAGUUUUUCCAUUAAACUUUUAUUUAUGAAUAUUAAGUUUUUAAACUUUUAUUUUUUUUAAAAAAAUUAAACUCUAUUUAACCGAGAUUUAAACUUUUAUUUUUUUAAAUUAAACUCUUAUUUAAUUAUGAGUUAAACAAUUAUAAUCCCAUAUGUUAUACGCGGUUGAUGGGAAAACUUAAUCGAAUUGUUAAAUCUCUUAAACUUUUAUUUUUUGAAAAUUAAGUUUUUAAAUUUGUACUUUUGUUAAAGUGAGUAUUUAAAUUAUUUCCAUUAUCAGUGAUUUGAAUUUAUUAUUUACUCACUAUCGAUUUAGAACUUAAUUUUAACUUAAAUAAAAAUUGAAGGAUUCAAUAUUGAUAAAUGAAAUUGCAGGAGCUUAGUAGACAAAACUUGAAAAAUAAGAGGCUUAAGUACAUCUUUUACCAAAUAUAAUCAAGAGUUAAUUUACACUCACACAUAGGUGAGGAUAGGAUUAGGAUAGAAGUGUGGUAAGUGCCCGCGAACUUUGAGUUAUCCAUAUCUAUAUCUGUUUAGAGCUUUAAAAUCAAUUGUAUCUAUGUUAAAUCCGUUUAAAUACCUAUAUCAAAAUCUGUUUAAAAUUUUACUGUCCGAUCCAUUCAAAAUCUAUUUUAAAUACUUGUAUUUGAUGUUCAUAAAAUUUAAACCAUUUAAACACGAACUUAUUUAAAAAAGUAUCUUCCAUUGAUAAUGGAUAAAGUAUCAAGGAUACUCACAGUAAAACUCAUUUAAUAUAAUGGAUAACAAGUAACGAAUAUUCAAACUCAUUUAGUAAAACUCCUGAAUUCAAACGACAGGAUUUGCAAGUGAAGAGAGAUGGAACCUAAAACGGUUGGCUAUGUACUCAAUGUAGAUUCACUAACAAAGUACAACAAAUGCAAAUACCAAGUAAAAAGGAACAAAUGGUUAAGAAUUCAGACAAAGUCCUAACUUCAAAGUUCAAAGUUCAAACCAUAAAAUCAUUUCAGUAAGGAGAAAUCAAACUAAAACUUUUGAAUGUUAAAAUUUCAACUUUAACCACAGAACCAAAACCCUGUUAGCUAUGUACUAACACAAAGUGCAAGAAACACCGAGUACGAACUCAAGCACAGUAAGAUUGAGCUGGAUUGCCCAUAACCCAAAAACACUAGAAUGUGUCUGGUGUGGAGGGGUCCAGAAGCCAACUUAAAUAGAAGCAGAGGGACAACACUGGAAAUUAUGAUUUAAAAAAAAAAAAAAAAAAAAAACUAAAAAGCAAAGAGAGAAACAGACAAGAAAUAACCGUUGUAGGGGUGGCUUUUUGGGUUGGAUGCCAGGCUGACGCUUGAGCCCCCCUCAGAUGAUUCAGCUCACAUGGUCUAUCUGUACACUCUGGGUCCCACCCUCCACUUUCUCUCUCUACUACCCUCUUUGGAUUAGUUGUCAAAUGAUCCUUUUAUGUUAUCAUAUUACACACUUUCAUCCUAUCUAUUUCAAAGUUACUAACUUUAGUUAAUGAGAUUUAAUCUGCCAAAUGCAUAAAUUAAUAUCUAAAUUUUAUAAGAAGAGUCUAGUAGCACCUUUAAACGUUGAAAACUUCUUUUCGUAAAAUUAUAGCUAGUAAAUGCCUUAAUUUAAAAAACCGUAUUUAUUAAAUACUUAAACGUAUAUAAUUAUGUUUAUUAAAUAUUUAUCGGAUGAUUUAAAAUAUAAAAAUUUUAUUAUUUAAUAAAUUAUAUUAAAAGUUAUAUAAAAUGUUACACUUAUUGAAUAUAUUAUUUAGUAAUUGUUGUAAAAUUAAAAACCCUGUUUUUUUUUUUUUCAAAUUAAGUUGAUACUUAGUCUCAACUGUGCUUUUAUCCAUAAUUUUAAAUAAUUUAUUUGUAGAAACCCUAAAAACCAUAUAUUUUUCGUUGACAUAUCAUAAAAAUUAAAAUUAUUAAUUUCAAACUGUUUAAAUACUGGUAAAAUGUAAAAUAAUGCAAAUGGUGACAGUUUUUGCAACCAACUUUUUUUCUUGGAAAUUCUCUGUAUUACAAUCGUCUUUUAUAAUAUUUUUAUUAAUAUUAUUUUGUUCCAAACAUGCCCUUGUCUUAUCCAAAUAAUGCCCCGUACUCUCCUGCCCUUCUCUCUAUUCUUAUAAGGGCAGUGGCCUGUGGAUCAAAGACCACAGUCCCAAGAGAGAAGAGAAAGACAAAGCAAUUAAGCUCACAAGAGAGAAGCUCUUCUAUUUUCUAGAGUAAGAAAGAAGAAAGAAGACGAUGGCCAAGGAAGUAAGUGAAGAAACGCAAACUACCCAUGCAAAGGAUUAUGUUGAUCCACCACCUGCGCCACUGAUCGACAUGGCUGAAAUCAAGCUCUGGUCUUUCUACAGAGCUUUAAUAGCUGAGUUCAUAGCCACUCUCCUUUUCCUUUACAUAACUGUAGCCACUGUAAUUGGCUACAAGAAACAAACUGAUCCAUGUGGUGGAGUUGGUCUUUUGGGCAUUGCAUGGGCCUUUGGUGGCAUGAUCUUUAUCCUUGUUUACUGCACUGCCGGUAUAUCUGGUAAGUAAAAAAAAAAGGAACUAUUUCUCUAAGUUACUAGUACCCAAAUGGGUAUUUAUUAAGUUUUAGGUUUCUGUGAAGUUUCUUUGUGGAUUUGGUCAUUCAACUUGAAAAAUAACAAAACCCAUUUGUUUUCAAGACCUGUUUAAUAAUGGGUUUUCCUUAUUUUGGUUACAGGUGGUCAUAUUAACCCAGCAGUGACCUUUGGGCUGUUUUUAGCAAGAAAGGUGUCACUAAUUCGAGCCUUGGCUUACAUGGUGGCUCAGUGUUUAGGUGCCAUCUGUGGUGUAGGGUUGGUCAAAGCUUUUAUGAAGAAUCCAUAUAAUCAUCUUGGUGGUGGUGCUAACUCUGUAAAUACCGGCUAUAGCAAAGGAACUGCUUUGGGUGCUGAGAUCAUCGGCACUUUUGUUCUAGUCUACACUGUUUUCUCUGCAACUGACCCCAAGAGAAGUGCACGUGACUCACACGUUCCUGUAUGUUAUCAACCAUAGCCUAGUAUAGCUCUCCUCUUUCAUGUCAAAGAGUUCAAAUCUAAACUUUGUUUUGGUUAUGUUUGGUUGCAGAUUUUGGCUCCACUUCCAAUUGGGUUUGCAGUUUUUAUGGUUCACUUGGCUACCAUACCCAUUACUGGUACUGGUAUUAACCCAGCGAGGAGCUUCGGUGCUGCUGUUAUUUACAACAAUGAUAAAGUCUGGGAUGAUCAUGUAAGCCUCUUGAUAGUCAACCAGAAACUUAUUUUUCUUGAUUUUAUGGUUGUUUUGAAGUUGGUGCUUUUUAACAUAAAACAUCAGAAGUAGGUUAAUUUUCAAGAAUAUGUUUAUCUUCUUGAUAAAAUAAUUUAAUUUCCUUUUUAAUUAUUUUUUGGAUGGGCAGUGGAUUUUCUGGGUUGGACCGUUUGUUGGAGCAAUUGCAGCAGCUGCAUACCAUCAAUACAUACUGAGAGCAGCAGCUAUCAAAGCUUUGGGAUCUUUCCGCAGCAACCCCACCAACUAAAAUGAAAGAAAGAACGAAAGAAAGAAAAACAAGAAAAAAAAAAAAAACCAAAGGCUUUGUGUAGCUAUCUUUAGUCUCUAGUCUUUCUUUUUCUCUAUUUGUUUGUUUGUUGUGUGUAAUGAGAGGAUUAUGAUGAUGACCCUUCUUUCUUCUUUCUUUUUUUACUUCAUUUUUUCUUUUCUUAUUGUUCUUUUGUAUCAUUGUUAAUGAGUAGUGCUGUUCUUUUUUCUUUCUUUUGAUCAUAUUUAAUUGCUUUGUGCAGUGUAGAACGUUCUCUCUCAACACUCUUUUAAUAAUUAGCCACUAAAUAAACUACCAGCUAACUAAAUUUUUAUCCUCUCGACCUUCAUUACAGCGGUGCUAGUGAAUUUGUGAGUAGCGGUUAGGCCAUCUUCGGGAACAGUUUUUUCAUAUGGC
rnacentral:lncRNA from 1 species